rnacentral:lncRNA from 1 species
UCGCAGAAUUCCAUUGGUAAUAUGUCUGCCGGAGGAAGAUCGAGCAGUGAUGUAAUAAUGGCCAACAUUUUGGUUUGGACUCAACAAGACGUCAAUAACUUGCCCUGGGGCUAGGGUUAAAGAACUUGUAAAGGAACGAUUGGUAUAGGUCCCAUUUUGUCCGACAAUCGUCAAUCUGUGUCUUUCGAUGUCAAACAGCAUUGUUUCAUUGGCAACAGCAUUUAUCACGCGAACAAGGUAAAGGCCCUGGUAAUCUACUUGCAUCUCAAAAGUUGUAUCUACAACAUCAAAAUUGUUGGAUUAUUAGCAUUCAUAGUAAAGGUUUCUGCAUAAAAGUUAAUCUGUCAGUUUUCAUUUCAUGCUGUAUGGCCUAGGGAAGAGGAUGCUUGAUUCAUGUGAUGCAAACUUACGUAUUAAAAGUAUAAAAUAGUUAUUAAAAAAAAAAAAAAAGAUUUGACGGGUCCAACAUCUCGGAUUUUAGUCUUGAAUAUCCGACCUGACUUAACUUGGAAACAGUGAGGCCUAAGUCAUUACCAGAUAUCAGAUACCAGAAAAAGAAAAAGUCUAAACAAUAGCGGAUACAUACCGUUGCUGCAUCCAUAUGUUUCUCCGGGAUAGCCAUUGAUAGUGUAAGCAUCUGCUGAGCCAGGAGCUAUGGUUUGAUUAGCUUCCGUUAACUCUUCCCUGAACCAUUCGCCUAAAGGAAUAUUGUGCCAAAACAUUCACAUAAGCAAUUAAUUUGCAAAAUAUAGGAAUCAAACAUGUUAAUCAGAUGUACCAAGUAUAAUUGUUUGAUCAGAAGUAGGUGCAGGGAAAGGAUAGUCUUUAUUGGCUACUGGCAAAAUGACAAAGGCACCGUGGACGGUUGCAGCAGCCCAAGCACUGGUAGCGUGCCACCUCAGAGUUCCUAUUUCAUCCCCUAACUCUAUAUUGUAAGUGAAGUUUUCCCCUGGCUGAAUUGUAUUAUUCGAACCAUCAAUUGUAUCCUCAACGCCCUCCCUACAAACCCACAAACAUAUGUCUAUAUAUAUGAUUUAAGUGUUUCAUCGUAAACUAGGAGUGCAAGCAUAUACAUAUAUGUAUAUAUUAGUAUUACCAGUCGAGGGAAACAGCAUAGUUUGCUUGAUUGUGGACAUUGACAACAACUGUGUCCCCUCUGCGGACCCGAAUCUCAGGCCCUGGAAAGCUGCCAUUGACGGUCAAGAUGAUCUUCGUGCUACACAGCUUUGUGAACGUGGAUUCUUGCAACUAAUUUAAACAAAACCCAAAAUCAAAAUUCAGCACUGCUUUCUCUUAUUAACACAAACAGAAAAGGGGGAAGAUGCAAGGAACUUACAGAAAACUCGUAAUAGUGGACAUCGGCUGUGGAUAAGACAAAGAUAUUCAGAAACAAAAGCGCUGAUAACCAUAUAAACCCUUGCUUUUCAGAACCCAUGUUCUUCUUGUUUUUGGUUCUAUGUAUAUGUGUUCUUCAGUUCUCCCCUUCCUUUAUGUAAUGUUUUUGGUUUUCAUCCAUUUCUUAAUUAUUUAUAUAUAUAUAUAUAUAAAGAAACAACCCUUUUUCAAUGGAGGUGAGUUAAAGUUUGAAAACAGCCAUUUGGUUUUUAUAUAUUAAGUAUUAUAAUUUGUGGUAUGGAAAGGUGUAGAGACAAGUUACAUGCACAACAACUUUUUCAUUUUCCACAUGGGCGGAAACGGAAAGAUCAAAUCAACAUGGAAAGGAGAUGACGGAGAUUCUUUUUCUUUUUCCCAUUCCAAGUUCAGCAAUUUUGAUAGAAAAUCAUCAAGUCUUUUCAUUCAUUUUCAUGGCUAAUGGUAUCUUUUUUAUUUAAAAUUCAUUCAAUCACAAAGUAAGAGCUAAUAUGUGGGAUUGCAAGAGAUUAUGCGACUGCCUACCUAGUUUUUGGCAGUGUAUGUGAAAAUUAAUUAAGGGAAAAAUCAUAUGCCACUACAACUCUAAUUUGCCCAUUUUAAGAGCUUCCAAAUCUACAUAAAUUCAGCAAAGGAAAACAUUACUAACGACCCAUGAUUAUCCCAAAUAUGUCAAGUCCCUCCUCCCGUUUUUACCGUCAUAUCAAACUUAACCUAUUUCUAUUGAAUUAAGUAGUUAAAAAAUGUGUUUAUAAUAAGGGUCGGGUAUCGGUAUAUUAUAUACAUUUAGGAAGGGAUACAAGUUUAAAUUUUAGAUACGAUAUUAAAUUAAAAUGGACAUAAAAAAAUAUAAAGAAAAUUGUAGUUAAAAGAGUUUAAUAUAUUUUAUUUUAGUUUUAGAUUCAAGUUUUGUAAACGGAGGAAACAACGUUGAGAGAAUUUUAUCUCUCACUCAAAGAUUUGACUUGAUUCAACUCCAAAUUUAAUUGAAGUGUAAUGGCUUAAUACAUACUUUAACUCUUAAAGUACUGUACCUUUUUUCCACUUUGAUAGUUAAAGGUUUUUUUUUGACCCAUCUCAAUCCCUAUUGUUAUUAAACGUUUCCAGUUCAAUCCUUAACAUUAACACACGUUCUUAACAUUUUUAAAAAUAUGUUAGAGUAUUUUAAAAUUGUAAAAAAAAUAGAAAAGCUCUAAAAAAUUAUAAAAGUUAUUAGAAAUUGUAAAAUAUUAAAAUUAUAAAAAUUAUUAGAAAUUGUAAAAUGUUUUAAAACUAAAAAAAGAUAAAAUUAUUGCAUCUUAGAAUAAAGAUUCGCUAAUCACAUUUAAAAUAUUAAAAUUUGAUAUAAAAAUUGUAUUUAAUUAAAAAUACAACUAAUUUUUAUAAAAAUUGUAUUUUAAAACUAUUUUAAUAAAAAUUAACACAUUUUAUAUCAAAAUUUUAUUAUUUUAAAAUAUAUUAACUUUUAGACUUUCCCAUGUUUCUGGCGUAAACUUCUUCCUUCCAUCAUCGUGUCAAUGCUCUCUUUAUUUUGUAUUAAACACUCGAUAAUCAUAGUGGACAUAGGGAGAAGGAUGACAUAUUUGAAUAUUUGCAUUAUUAUUUGAAUUGAAAUAAUAUUAUUUUUCAUUAUUUUAAUAAAUUUUAAAAAUUCAUUCAAAUUUAUCACUUAAAAAAUUGACCAUGUAUAAAUUUUGAUUGAUUGAAUUAUAAAAUAAUUUUCUUACGUGGUAUCCUUUCAAAAAAUAAUGAUCUUAUAUUCAAGCUCUAAUAAAUGCGGUUUAUAAAAUAUUAAAAAUUAUAAUUUAUAAUUUAAUUAAAAAAUAGUAAUUUUUAGUAAAAAUUUUAUAUUUUUUAUCAUUUUUUUUAAAUUUUUAAUAAUUUUAAUUUUUAAAAGAUCUUUUAAAGUUUUUCGAGAGAUGAUGUCACUAUGAUGUCAUAAUAUGAUACAUACUAGUAUAGGAUUGGUUGAAUAUCUCAAUUAUUAAUUUUAACUUCCAAAGGAUUAAACUGAAAUAUAAUGUUAGGGAUUAAAAUGGAAAAAAAAAACUUUAAAGAUAAAAAUUAGGAAAAUGGUAUAUAUACUUUAGGGGAAAGGAUUCUAUGAAAUAAGGACGCCAUAUUAUCUAUAUCCCUUUUUCUAAUAGUUUUAUGCCACAUCAGCAUUUUCAUCCUAAAUUUCAGCAUUUUCAUCCCGAAAAAAAUCAAAUCCAAAUUAAAAUCCUUAAAUUCAGGAUAAAAUUACUGAUGUGGUAUAAAACUAUUGGAAAGGGAUAUAUCUCUGUUCCAUACAAUCAUUUCUUAUACUUUAGUGACUUAGUGACUAAAAGGAUGCAUCUUAUAUAACUAUUGGACACUGAAUCAUCUGAAAAAAAAAACCUUAACUUUAUUAAAACCCCCGUUAUAUAUAUGUUUUAAAAUUUAACACAGCUUAUUGCAAAUUUAAUUAUAAAAGUACAUUUUAAUAAUAUUUAAAAAAAAUAUAACAAAAUAAAUUUAUUUAGAAGUUAAAAGAAAAUCAUAUACAUUUAGUUUAGAGUCCAUGGAAAAAAAUCAAAAUUGUAAAAUACCGAUCAGAAUAUCACAAUUAUAUUUAUAUUAAAUAAAAAAUCCUGCAAUCAUGCUAAAUAAUAAAAAAUGUAUAUUAAAAUAUAUUUAUGCUAAAUAAUUUUUGAAAUUUUAUUAAAUAUGUUUAUAUAAAAAAAAUGAAAAAAAAUUGAAACAUGUGAAAGUCGGUAGCGAGAUAAUACAAGAGAUAAAGAUAAAGUGAGUGUUAAAUAAAAGUGGAUAGUUAUGAGCAAAAUGUAGGUCUUCUCCUACAUGGCCCUAUUUUCAGGAAAUAUUCUCAUUCCGAUAGUCUUUAAGACCAUCAUACGUGCACGUAACGUGAAUUGAGUCCUCCCCGGUAAAAACUUGUUAAAACAUUUCAAACAGAAUCAUUUUCUGUACUGGCUAAACUGCAUGCAUGCAUGCAAUAUUUUAAUUAUUGUUUAUGUCUUUUCCCGCAAAUAAUUGAUUCAAAGUUACAAAGAAAGUCGUAGAUGGCACGCAGCUGGAUAAUCUCCAACCUAACUUUAACUUUAGAUCUAUUUCAUUGUUAGAGUAUUAGAUCAGUAGUGUUGUUAAGAUUCAAUUAAAACGAUUUAUAAUAGUGAUUACUGUUAGUUGAUCUUAUUGACAUGACCUUAUUGAAUCAUGUAUAAAAAUCCUUGUCAUUUUCAUUUAUGGUAAGCAUUAAUCUGAUAAAAGAAAAUGUUGUUCUCGUGCACUUUGCUUUAUUGGGUGAAAUUUUAUGUACAUUAGUUGCAUUUGGUCAUUUUACAUUUUCUUCCUCUUGGUUUGAACGAUGUAUAAGGAGAAAAACACGAUUCACGUUUGAUUUGUUAGAAAAUAUAGACAUCACAUGUAUAAUAAGGGUAAUUACAUAUGUUAUUUUUUACUAUCAUGAUAGGUUAGCCCAAAUUAAAAGUGAUCUAAUUUGGUUAAGGUUUAUUGGACUUUAAUUAUUAAAUAAAGUGUAGAUCAAAUAUGUGUAAUUCUCUAGCAAUUCAGUUUUAAUCAAUUUCUAAUUAAUUACAAGCUAAUUAGGAAUUAGAGCCAAUGUGUUAAAGUUAUAUAUUAGGGUUAUGGUCCCCAUAUCAUACAUAAUAUAUCUUUUCUAAUAUCCCAUCCUUAGGUAAGAGAGAGCAAAUAUUCUCUAAAUUUCUUAUGUUAAUUUGGAAGAUCAAAAUCCUAAGAUCCAAAAAAUUUUAAAGAAUCCAUAAAUUCAAGUACGCUUCUGCAUCUAGUUUGUUAUUGAUUUAGUUUUAAUAAUUUAACAUGACAGAUUCUAAUUUACAGUUCUAAUUUUAUAUUAGAUAUUAUUAAAAAUUCUAACAUGAUUUACACUUUGUUUAAUGAUUUUAAUGAUUUCUUAGCUCAAACUACUAAGGAAAUUCAUAUACCAUGUGAGCUCUACCUCUAUAAAAACUAAGCAAAAGAUAAUAAUUACAAGUGGAAUACCGAUACAUGUUAGGUUGAAUGAUAAAUAGCUAAAUAUAGUUUGAAGUUUCAAAGUUUAAUAAUUCUUUUUGUCAACAUUUAACCAACAUAUUAGUAAUUUCUAAUAGUUCACAUUAAAUGCAUUAGGAAUAAAUUUCAAAAUUAUAUAUAAAUUUUAGCCUAAUAUGCAAUUUUAUAAAAAUUUUAAUUUUGUGCAAUUUUAUUCAUAAAAUUUUAAUUUGAUACAAUUCUCGCAAAUUAUUAACACAAUUAUCGAUAUAGCAUCAUUUAUGUUUACAUAUUGCAUACACAAAUAAUUAUAUUUAUUCAAUAUAAAAUAAUUUGAUGUAUUUAUUUCUUUAAAUGUGUAUAACUGAAUCAAAACUAAUGUUUUAUGUAUAUAUUUGAACUACAAUUUCAUGUGUAUAAUUACGCCAUAUCAAAGUUCAUGUAUCAAAUUUCACAUAGAAUAAAAGUUCAUGUAUAAUUUUGAGAUUUAUCCCAACACAUUAGUAAUUUUACUUUAUGCUAGUAGUUGAUGCACUAUUGAUACAAUAUUUUAAUUCUAUGGGAUAAAUAUCAAAAUUAUAUACGAGUUUUGAUACAAUUUGCAAUGUUAUAUAUCAAUUUUAAUUUGUGCAUUUGUAUACAUCAAACUUUAAUUUUGUUUCAAUUUUCACAUUUCACUAACAUGUUAUCUAUGUGGCAUAAUUUUUUAUUAAGCUAUGUGUAAAUUGCUAACAUGUCAUUUUAUUAGAUUAAAAACAAACAAAAAAUUAAAUUAUUUCCACCUAGAUUAAAAAAAUAAACACACUUGGGAAAAUAUUUUUUCUUUGUCAGGAUUUACUUUUUUUAAUCUGGGAGGAAAUAAUUUAAAUUUGUCUUUUUUAACCUAAUAAAAUGACAUGCCAGCAAUUUAUACAUGACUUAAUGGAAAAUUGUGUUACAUAAAUAAUAAGGUUAGUGAAAUGUGAAAAUUGAACCAAAAUUAAAAUUUGGUGUAUACAAAUGCACCAAAUUAAAGUUGAUGUAUAACAUUACAAAUUAUAUCAAAAUUCAUGUAUAAUUUUUGUAUUUAUUCCUAAUUCUACAAGUAGAGUUCAUGUCACACCCCAAAUCUGGAUGAUCUAAUUAGAAGACGUGUACAUGCGAAGUUAUCUGUUUGACAUAGUAUAGUAUGCCUAUUAGCAGUCUUCUGGUGGAUUAAAGUUUGGCAUAAAGUAUCUGUCGUGGAAGUAAUUAAAUAUUUUAUCUUAGGUUAUUCUACUAUUUAAGAAAAGAAUAUGACAAGGGAAGAGUAAGCUUGGUGAGAGUUACUUCCAAAAGUAUAUUACGCCCAGUUUGCCUGAGCAUUGUGCUAAUUGGGUUUUGUAACGUGAUCUGGUUAGAGUCAAUUGAAUUAACUAGUUAAAUAAUAUUUGCAUAGGAUUCUUAUUUACAUUUCUCUCGGAUUUUAUAAGCCAUUUAUUAGGACAAAUUCUGGAUGCAAUCGACACUUGUCAAUUUCCACUAAGGGGAACUGGAUAUAUAUAUGGUAAGAAAGGUUCGUUUGGAUGGUUUUUCUUCCUUCAAUAAUACUCUCUGGUUCUUCUUCUUAAACUUAUAUGUUUUCUUCUACUUUAUUAAGCUGGAAGCUAGGGUUUUUGGAUUAAUGAGUGGAUGUUCCACCUCCUGCCAAAUUUGAUAGCUUUACAUGUUAAGUUUUUGAAAAAAUAAGGAUAUUAAAAAGCAUAUGAACAGUGAGUUGCGAAUAAGAGACCCUACAUGGGGGUCGUCUGUAAUUAAGAUGUUAGUCAUUUGUUUGUAAAUGGGUUUUAAUGGUGGUUCUAUGUUCUCUAAGCAGUUAUUGCUGCUGGUUCGAGAGGGAUGCUCGAGUUUGAAACUCCAAGUUCCAAUCUAGGUGAGUAUCAGGUGAGUCUCUAUCUUGGAUCCUGCAUGUGAACUAUUCAAUUAGAGAUAUACAUGUCGAUAACAUCUCGGAAAACUAGUUAGUGCGUAUGCGAAGAAAUGUAAAGGUUCUGCAUGAUUAAGAAUGAUAUGUGAGAUCUAAUAUGAGAAAGUAAGAACCAAUGAGGUAUGUGAAUAAAUCUUGGUAAGUAUCUUUUGAGUAAAACAUCCCUUUGUGAUGCCUCUAGUAGGGUGAUUAUAUUGCUAACCAGACUGGCAAGAUGAAAUAGAAUGAAAUAGUUGGAUUGAGCUUGAAUGUCUAAAUGGAGCGUAGGUGGUAAAUUUGACACAAGUAGGUUAGUAUAGAAUGUUACAAGUGAAUAGAUAUGGAAUUGGUAAUUCAAGUCUAGUUACUAGCAUAUGUACAGUUGAUGGAAAUAAGGAAGAGAAUUGUACCUAAUAUGCCAUGAUGUUUGAAUUAAAUUUGGAGACAUGUUGUUAAGAUUUUGAUCAAGUUAAUCUUAUUGUUUUGGUUGUGAGUUGAUGGAUUUGUUGUUGUGAACUGUGAUGUUAUGUUAUAUGCUUGAAUAUAGAGUAUAUGGUACAUUUGAGGUGUCUAAGAUUAUCAUUGAAAAAUGUUUUAUAUUUGAGCAUGAAAUAGAAACUUUACAAGGUGAUUUUGACAAUUUUUGCACAAAAGUAUCGAUACCUUGAUAUUAGGUAUCGAUACUUGACCACAUGAAUAGUUUUCUAAAACAAACAGGUUCACAUUUUGGUAUCGAUACCAAAUAAUGGAUCAAUACAGUAUCGAUAUCACGCAAUUAAGUAUCGAUACCAACUUUAAAAUUUUGAGAUUUUACAAUUCAAUCCUAUUUCAUGCUCGGACUUCACAAAUUGGUCAUUGUGUAACAACCCGAUUUAGGGCCUAGUCGGAACAGUGUUCUCGAGACCACAAAUUCAAAGUUAAAAAUAUUAUUUUAUUAUUAUUUUUAUGUUUUAGCAUUAAUAUAUUAGUGCAUGAAAAAUUUAGUAAGUUAAUUUUGACGAUUGUGAGCCCAAUUGCGAAAAAGGACUAAAUCGCAUAAAGUGUAAAAGUCCCAAAUUGAUAGGUAAAAGUGUUAUUUUGUUAGAGAAUCAAAAUUGAGAGAUUUUAAAUGGAAAUUAGACCCUAUUAGAAGAGCAUAGUUGGCCAUGUGACAAGGAAAAUCAAUUAGUCAAAGUGUUAGGUUUUGAUGACAUGAGCAAAUUGAAUAAAAUAAAGAAAAGUUGUCAUCUUUUCUUUUCUUCUCCUAUACACCACCGAAAAUCAGCCAUUGAAGGGGGUUUGAAAGCUCAAAAUUUUCAGCCACUUAGUUGACUCACAAGUAAGUGAUUUCCAUGUCCUUUGUUGAUGAUUUUUGUAUUUUUGAGACCCUAAAAGCAUGAGCUUUCAAAUGAGGGGUCUAUUUUGCAAAAUGAUUAAGAGUUUAGGGUUUUUCCAUGAAUGGAUUUGUAGUGUUUUCUAAGUUUUUAUGGAAGAAAAUGAGUCCUAGUUGUGUUAUAAACAACUUUUGUGAGAGAUGUUAGCAUGAAAACACUUAAAGAGACUAUUUUGCAUAAGUUACAAAAUAGGUGAUAAGUGUGUGAAAUAGUGCGGUUUUGGAGUUGCUAUAAGAGUAAAAAGAUCUCGGCUAGGCUUGAAAUACGAAGAAAUUCGAUAAAAAUUGAUUUUUUAGCAUAGGGGUAAAAUGAUCAUUUUGCCAAGGUCUAGGGGCAAAAUGGUCAUUUUACCUAAGAUGUGAAUUUUAAAUUUUCCUAAUGGUGUUUAGUGACUAAAUGAGUGUAUUUUUUCAUUAUAGAUUAAGAAUUUUCAAAUCCGAACCUAGAUUGGGAGAAAGCCAAGUAAAUCAACUAAACCGACUAGUCGUAUAUAUUUUGUAAUCCGAGGUAAGUUUUUUAUAAAUAGUACAAUUACAUUGCUAUUAUAUGUGUUUGAAUUGUCAUUUAAUUGAUAUAUCGUGAACUGGUUGAUUGUGACUUGAGAAUGCAUAAAUAAUAAUUGUGAUAGUGGAAAUCCCGUAGAACCCUAGGAAAUAAACCAGAUAUUCAUGUCGCGACAUUUGGGUCAUUUGUGUGAGCUAGUGUAAGACAUGUCCUAGACAUGCAUCGGCCACAUUAUGAGAGCCAAUAUAAGACCAUGUCUGGGACAUGGCAUCGGCAUUGAGACGAGGGCUAGUGUAAGACAUGUCUGGGACAUGUAUCGGCCUCGAGACAUAAGCUAGUGUAAGACAUGUUGGGACAUGUAUUGGCUACGAGAUGAUAGUCAGUGUAAGACCAUGUCCGGGACAUGGAAUCGACUUGAGAUAUGAGCCAGUGUAAAACCAUGUCUAGGACAUGACAUCGGCACCUUACCCAUAUCUGAGGCUUAAUGAAUACUCGGUGAUAUUUCGAAUGGUUCAACGGUGAAUGUUAUGUUCUUGAGCUAAUGAGGAAAGUAUAACCGUGUUGUGAAUGGUACAUGUACCUAAUAGGUACGUAUGAGAUAUGAGCUUAAUAUAUAUAUAUAAAUGUGACUUGUAUGGAUGGUAAUGAGUAAGUUACACCUAUGCCUACUUUGGUGUUAUGAGCAUGUUGAUUAUGAAAAAAUGUUGUAGUAUACUUAUUUAUAUGCAACUUACUAAGCUUUAUGCUUACUCCAUUUCCUUUCCCUUUUCUUUCAGCACUGCCUAACUAGCUCAAGGAUCACCGAAAGUCAGAUAUAUCGAUCACACUAUCAGCCGAAACAUUCGGUAUAGUUGGAUUUAUAUUUUUGAAUAUGACAUGUAUAGGGUUAGAAUUUAUUAUUUUGAAUAUUUGAAAAGUGGCCAAAUGUGUUGGUUGGGAUAAAUUCCACACUUAGUAUUAAGCCAUGAAUGAUGGCUAAUAUUUAUUUUGAGUUUAUAAAGAUGCAUCUUCAUGGUCGAAUAAAUAUCUAUUGUGGCUGAUUUGACUUUAGAAAUCAUGCUUGAUUUGGUAUUGGUUGGCAUUUGCAUGAAAAUGGGUGUGUAAGGGCGGCAAUGAGGCUUGGUAAAUAGCCUUAUAUUGUCCACACGGGUAGACACACGGUCAGCCCCAUGUGCGUGUGAUUCGGCCGUGUGUCCUCUACAUGUAAAAAUUUCAAGUCAGUGUGUAUGGUAUUUAACACACGGGCAGAGACACGACUGUAUGUCUCAGCCGUGUGGAGGACAUGGCCUAGUACACGGGCGUGUGCCAUGGCCAUGUGACAUUCUGGGGAUGUUGAUGUCAGAAACAGAAUACCCAGGUUUUUGCACAAGGGCUAAAACACGGGCGUGUCGUGGCCGUGUGAGGGACACCGGCCAUCGACAUGGGUGUGUGUUUAGCCGUGUGAAAACCCUUGUAAGUGUGAAUUAGAUUUUAAUUCCACACGGGCGUGUGCCCUGUUUUAAAGGCAACUUUCUUAAGGUGGGUUUAAGGACCCGGAAUGAUUUCAAAUAGUCUUCAACGGUUGAUUUGGGGCUCGUAGGCCCAUAAUAAAAAGUUUAAAGUAGAAAUUGAAAAAGUUUUAACUUGGACCGAGUCUCGGUGACUUGAGGUUAUUCGAAUGCAUGAGAUCAAGUUAGGUAAUGCCUUGUAUUCCGCCCCGGCGUGGGUUAAGGGUAUAGGGUGUUACACAUUGUAUGUUCAAUUUUCUAGAUUUGGAAUGAAUGUGUAUUUAUAAUUACAUGUUUUGAAAAUAAGUAUGAAUUAAUUGACGGUAGUUGUUCUGACGACGAAUGUGACAUUUUGUUAUCCAGAUUUGGAGAGUGGGUCGGGUAAUAGGGUGUUACAUUAGUGUUUUUUUUAAAUUUGUUAGAAUUAGGAAUUAGACUUGUUAUUCAACGUUAGAAAUAAAAGGAAACAGGGUUCCAAGAACAACGGAGGAGCUAGAUGUUAGCUGGGUGCAAUUACGAACAACCAAAGGCCUUUGGUAAGUCCCGGAAAGGCCAAAUCGAAGUCAUGUCAUCACAUAACAACCCUAUAGUAUGACACAACCAUCUCAACAUUGAAAAUGUGAAGAUCCAUUGUUGUGUCGCGCCAUAUACACUCUAUGAUGCGACACACACACCCCUUUAAACAAAAAUAAGGUAGAAAUUCGCCUUGUGUGACGCCAUACCUCCUUUAUCGUGCGACAUGCAAGCCAUUUUUGGCAACUUUCCAUUCUUGGUUCAACGUGAUCUUCAAAGAUAUAUCCCAAGUUUGCGUAGCAAGUAAAGCCCUAGAUGGCCUAUAUAUAUUGCCCUUACUAGUAGCUAUACCCUUCAAACCGUCAUGAUCAGCCAAACCACCAUUUGUUACUCUUUUCUUCAAGAUUCCGUGAAUUCUUUGCCUUUUCCCUAUUCCAUAACCUCAAUAUUAUGUAUAACACCCUUUCCUAUAGCGAAUCUGUAACAGAUAACAACUCCUCAAAUGACCGGUCAGCCCAUGACCACCUUUGGCACCCCAAAAAUUAAAUCUCAUUUCCCCUUAUAACACAACCAUAAAUCAUGCUACAUAAUUUCAAUAAAUAAUGAUAACAAAAUUAAAGAAAUGCAACCAUCUUGAAUUAAUAAAAUCAUGAUUCACAAGGUUGGCCAACUCAACUAGACAUUUUUUUCAGUUACGUAAAAAAUAAUUUAAUAAAAAAAUAUUUUCAAAAGUUUGCAUAUGACACAUAAUAUACAUUAUUCAAGGUUAAAACCUUUUUAGAAGUGAAUCGUAGUUUAACAAAUCAUUUGCCUUUGAUUGUUGUGAUAGGAGAAUUUCUCAUGUACAAGUCAUUGUCAUAUUCAUAUUGUGUGAACUUUGAUAGCAUACCUUUUUUCCUUGGACAUGUGUUUGAUUGCUACAAUAUCAAUCCACCAUACAUUAUCAUCUUAUAUUAUAUCAAUUUCAAAAAUUAUGGAAACAAACUUCUCGUAUUGUUAACCUUAGAAGAAAUAUCCUUCUUUAAAAAUUGACAUUCAUUCUUGAAAUGUCUCAGCUUACCAUAAUGGUAGCAUGAGCUCCCUUAUUGCUUCUUGAAAUUAAGUGCUCUAACAAUCUGUUCAAACUUUCUCUUGGAUGGUUUAAUAGUCUGUCUUUCCUCCGUAACAUGUACUUUGAUAUUUUCAGAAUCUAGGUUGCUUUCUAUAUUUUUCUUCAAUUUGAAAAUGAUUUGUUAAAGUCUCAAGAAAUAUAUCAUCUUUCUUAUGUUUUAGAUUUCUUUUAAAGUCUUUCCAAGAUGAAGAAAGUUUAUCUACAAUGGAGGAUACAAUAAUCACUUCAUCUAUUGUCAUAUUAUAUUGCAUAAAUGAAUUCAAUAUUUUUUCAAUUUCACGAAAUUAUUUCAUAAUAGAACGACCAUCAAUCAUGUUAUAAUUAUUGAAACGACUAGUAAGAAAUUUCUUACUUGUAGCAUAUUUGAUCAUGUAUCUUGUCUCCGAUUUGUCCCAUAACUCCUAGAUUGUGGUCUUGUUCUAGUAGGCGUUCAACAAACCAUCAGAUAAACCAUUCAAUAUGUGGUCUAUGCUCAUGUAAUCAACAUUGUCCAUUUUUACCUUUUUUGAGUUGCAACAACAGAUUCAUUUUCAUUCUCUUCUGAUCUAGGAGUAUUCAAAACAUAAGCAAUCAUCAAUGUUGAUAAUAAGAAAUGCAUAUUUUUCUACCACCAUUGAAAGUUGAUAGUAAAAGUGUUUUUUAAUCUAUCUAGUAUUUAUUUAAUUUGAAAAGAAAUUCAAAUUUUAAAAAUUAAAUUAUAAUCAUUAUUAAAUGUGUUCAUAUUUGUCAUGAACUAUUAAUAUAAGUGAUGCUUGACUAUUUUCUUUUUAUUUUUUCAAUUUAUUAUUAUCAUGUACUUUCUUAUAUAGUUUCAAAUAUAUUUAUUAUUUUAAUAGAUGUAUCUAUUAAUUCAAUUUUUAAUUAAUUUUUAGUUCAAUAUUUGAUUUUAUGCUUGAUUUAAAUUAUUUUAUUUAAUUACUUACUAUUUUACUAUAGGUUGUUUUCAUUUUUUUAUUUUUAUUACUUUUAAAAUGGUAUUUUUUUUAUAAAUUAUUUUAAAAAAUUAAAACAAAUCCUCAUUUAAAUAAAAAAUAUUUUUUUGAUAUUAUAAAAAUAUAUUAUUUUAAAAAAUAAAAUAAAUAAAUAAAAUUCCAUGCAAUCGCACAUAACAUUAUAUACUAAUAUUAAAAAAAAUAUCAUUUAUAGUUAAAUAAUAAAAUAAUAGUUUAAAUUUUUUUUCCUAAGUAGUUCAAAAAGAAAUACCAAAACUAUUAGCAAGUUAGAAAACACCCAUAUCUUAAUUUAAAAACAAAUUUUAAAAAUAAAAAUUAAUAAAAUAAUCGGAUUAAAUAUGAAUUUUGAAUUACAUGGCAGUGGAUUUCAUUAAAAAGCAAAAGUUUAAAAAUAAAAUAAUGUUUAACAUAAGAUAUAAAAACUUGAAAUAAAUUGAAAAAACGUUUUCAAUAAUGUAGUGGAUAGGUGGCUUGAUGUUAUUGUUAACCCCCAGGGUAUUUUAUUUUGCCACGUUUGUGUUUUCCCCUAGUCAAUGUAUACACGUAAUACAUAAUUUUCAUUUUCCAUUUUUUUAAUAAAUAUUUGGGAACGUUUGUUUUUUCCCCCAAGUCAGUGUCUACAACAAAUUAUAGCUGCAAAAAAAGCAACCAAAGGAGCAGGAGCUUCCUUUCCUAUAAAUGGUUGAAUUUUAUGGCCAAAAGAUGAGAAAAUUCAGGGGCGAACUAAGAACACGGUAGAGAGAAAAAAAAUGGGUUUACACCGAGAUAUGGUCUCAUGGUUUGUAGGGGUUCUAUUUCUAAGCACUUUGCUCCUUUGCAGUGCUGACGUACAUUACUAUGAGUUCUUUGUGAGUUCCCUGUUCUUAUAUAUUCUUACAUGUCACAGUUGUUUCGUCUAUAUAUUUUGGAAUUUUUUUAAGUUUAUUAAUCUUAGACUUCUUAUUAAAAUAUGACUCCUAAAAGCAUGAUGGCUAAGCGUCUGAGAGUGAAGACAACAAAAUCAUCACAGCUGCUUGGACAGCGAAAUUAUUACCUUUUUUUAUAUAAUAAGUGAAACCAUAGUUUUUUUAUUGCAGGUGCGAGAGUCAAACUUUACGAAACUGUGCAACACAACGACAUUGCUGGUCGUAAACGACAGUUACCCGGGUCCUGAGAUUCGGGUUCACAAAGGUGACACUGUCUUCGUUAAUGUCCACAAUCAAGGAAACUAUGGCUUCACCAUUCACUGGUAACUAUAACCUUUCUUUCAUUCUUCCAAUGAUAAUUUCCCUAAGAAUUGAAUUCAUUAGUGAUUAAGAUAAAUUAAACAUGUUGCAGGCACGGCGUGAAACAACCAAGGAAUCCAUGGUCCGACGGUCCCGAGUACAUAACGCAGUGCCCGAUUCAACCAGGGACCAACUUCACCCAUGAAAUCAUAUUAUCGGAUGAAAUAGGAACCCUGUGGUGGCAUGCACACAGUGACUGGACUCGCGGUUCUGUCCAUGGAGCUUUCAUCAUUUUACCAGCUGAGAACGAAACUUAUCCUUUCCCCACUCCAAACGCCGAUCAAACAAUCAUACUUCGUAAGUAUGUCUUUUGAUUUUUCGGUUCUGUUACUUGUGUAUAAUUAUAUGAAUCUUAGUUUGAUUCUUGUCUGUAUAAACAGAAUCGUGGUACAAUGAGGAUUAUAAGCAAAUUAUCGAUGAUGCACUCGCAGCUGGUGUUGCUCCUCCCACAGCAGAUGCUUAUGCUAUCAAUGGACAUUUAGGAGACACAUAUGGAUGCCCCAGUGGUACGUUCUCCGCAUUACAGAAACCGGAAUCGAGUUUCUAUGCCUAGGGAUCCUUACUUACACUAAGAGUCUAUAAUUGGGUGUUGCAGAUACAAUAUUCCUCAUGGAAGUUGAUUCUGAGAAAAUAUACCUUCUCCGCAUAAUCAAUGCUGCAAUGAACGAAGAGCAAUUCUUCACCAUCACAAACCACACCCUCAUUGUCGUCGCACAAGAUGCCUCCUACGUUCGAAUGUUCACCACAGACUAUAUAAUGAUAAGCCCCGGCCAAACCAUGGAUGUUUUGGUCAUUGCCAAUCAAAACGUCGGCCAAUAUUACAUGGCUAUUAGGCCUUUCUCUGAUUCCGCUGCUCAACCUAGUGAGUUCAUUACUACUGGCGUUUUUCAAUAUACAAACAGUGAGGGUGGAUUGAAUGCUUCCUUGAUACCGCUGCCCGCAAUGAACGAUACAGAUGCUAUGCUUAACUUCAUCAGCCAAAUUCGGUACGCCAAUGUCUCCCAAAACCCGACCAUAAAUGUACCGGCGGAUACAGAUAUCAAUAGACGAUUGUACAUUGCAAUCGCCACAAAUACCAUGCCAUGCAACACAUCAGAAUGUGUUUCAGAUAGCAGAUUCGCUGCAAGUCUGAACAAUGUCAGCUUUGUUUCCCCACGUAUUGACAUUCUCCAAGCAUACUACAGGUGUGUGUGUGUAUAUAUAUAGCAAUUCUAGUACCGCUAGAAAAGAAAAGAAAAAAUAAUUUGAUUACUGUAGCUAAUUCUUAAAGUUUUGGUAAUAUUGCAGGAACAUCACUGGUGUUUUCACCCAAGAUUUUCCGUUUACUCCACCAGUAUUCUAUGAUUUCACUGGAAACUUAACUGAUUUCAAUACUGAAGCUGGGGAAGGGACGAGGGCUAUUGUGGUAAAUUAUGGGGAUGCAGUGGAGAUGGUGCUGCAAACGACCCAAUUGGGGGCUGGUGGAAGUCACCCAAUUCAUUUGCACGGUUUCAGCUUCUAUUGGGUGGGAAUUGGUACCGGAAAUUUCAACAAUGAGAUAGACCCAAGCACAUAUAACCUGGUUGAUCCGCCACUUAUUAACACUGUCCACAGUCCUGCUGCAGGAUGGGUUGCCCUCAGGUUUUUUGCAAACAACCCCGGUAAGUUUUUCAAUUAGAAAAAACAGAGCUCAUUGUCGUCCAUCUUUCUAACUACCAAAGUUAUUAGGUAAUUGAUAUUUAUAUAUAAUAUAAUGUUUUCAGGGGUGUGGUAUAUGCAUUGCCAUUUCGAAAGGCAUAGUAGCUGGGGAAUGAGCACUGUUUUGAUUGUGAGGAAUGGAACCACCACCGAAACCAGCAUGCGCCCACCGCCAUCUACCAUGCCUCGUUGUCCUGGAACCUAGACCUAGUACAAGCAUUGAAUAAAGUGGAUUAACACGUGCAUAGCAUGUAACUGAAAUAAGAUUUUAAUUUCAUAAUUUUAAAAUAAAUAGUUAUUAAGAAUUUAAGUUGUGACUAUCUUUUCAUAUUUAAAUCAUUGUUGUAAAAAGUUAUAUAAAUUUUAAAUUUUCUCUUAAUUUUAUUUUAGAACUUUUAAAUCAUAUAUGAAUUGAUUAUUGAAAACAUGAUAGAUUAUCAGUUUUAUUCACAAAAUUGGACCUAUAAUAUUUUAUUUAAACCUAUUAAGCACCAAACUUUUAUUAGUAAUUCACAAUUAACUAGUUUUAACUAUCACAUUAUUCUUCAAAUUUUUGUAAAUCAAUUACUAGUGAAAUUUGUCGAGCGAAAAAAAACUUUCUUAAAUUGUACUAGAGUAGAUAUUCGUGUGAUGUAUGUGAUCAAAGUAGGUACUAUAAUUAAUAUAAAUAUUUCAAUAGAAAAAUACGAGGAUAAAUCGAAGUUAUUUUAAAAAUAAAAAUGUGUUGCCCGUUUGGAAAAUAGUAUCCUUAAUUUUUUUAGGUGUAAAUUGUUUAAGAAUUAUGGAGAAAUGAAUAAUAGUUAGCAUGUUAGAUAGAAGCAUGCAAAAAAAAGAAAAAAAGAAAUAAGGGACUGGAAGUGUAAAUAUAUUUAUAAUAUUGACGUUAUAACUUAUGAAAGAAAAAAAAAUACAUUUGUACAGGAAUAAACGGAUCUACUUGCAACCUUAAGAAAGCUUAAUUUCUUUACCAAUUUCAACCAAAAUCAACACAAUCUAUUAGGCAACCUGAUUGAUAGGAUGGAAGUACUUUUAAGAAGGUAAAAUAAAAGCAGUUUUUGAUACUUAUAAACACCAUCAAACUUUCUAGAAGCAUUUUUUAGGUCAAAAUGUGAUGGUCCCUCUUUUUUUUAUACAAUAUUAGGGGUUGGAGAUAAAAUUAACACAGUUUGAACUCGUGUCAAACAAAUGUCUCACAAAAACUUUAACUAUUGAUCAAUAUAAGUCAAUAUCCAGUUAUUUAUGAUUAAUUGUAAAUUUGUAUAAUCACUUAGUUGUUUAAAUGUGGAGUUCUUACAAAAAUGUAAAAUGACUUAUUGAACCCUCUAACUUUACAAAAAAAGAAAAGAUUAUUUUAGCACUCCAUUUAAUUUUCGUUUCUUUUAGCUCUUAAACUUGUGUUGUUUGUCAGAUCACCUUAAAAUAAAUGAAAAUGUUAACGUCUGUUAACUUUGCUAACGUGGCAUACACAUGAAUUAUCACGUGGAUGCUACAAUAGCAAUUAAUUAAUUUUCUAAAUUUUAAAAAAUUCAAAAUUAAUAUAAAAUUUAAAAAAAUUAAUGUGGAUGUCACGUUAGCAAAGUUAACAUAUGUGGAUGUCACGUUAGCAAAGUUAACAUAUAUUAAUUUUUUCCUUUCAUUUUAGAAUAAUUUGAUGAUCAAUAUAAAUUUAAGGGCUAAAAAGGACGAAAAAUUAAAUAAAUAUUAAAAUAAAUUUUGUAUACAAUAAAACCGCAUCCAUUUAAACUAACAUUUAGGUAUGAUUUACGGAUCUAACUCCAUAAUCUGUUAACAGUCUUAAUCAAUAUGUGAAAUAUUAAGAUUGUAUUAAAGAAUGUAAUUUAAAUAUGUAAGUUUAUAGACAACAACAUGAAUAGGAAUAAUGUUAGAAUUUCUUUCUUUUUAUCAAAUGGAAGAAAAGCCAAGAUAUUACACCGCAACGACAACCAUUAAUUUAUUUAACGUUUUGUUUGAUUAACAUGUUUAGCCAAUUUAAUUAACCUGUAAUUAUUUUAUGCAUGAGAAAAAAUAAAACAUAUUCCCUUCAAACAUAUAUAUAUAUUGAAAUAGUUAGGAAAAGUGAAUUACAUACCUUUUUUUUGUCAAUGCUUGGCAGAAAAAGAAACAUGCACACAUUAUAUUUAAUCUCUUAUUUCAACAUUAACCUUAUAAUUAUUUCUUAGAACGGAAACUAUUUACCUAUAUUAAAAACUAGUGGUAGUGGUGGUAUAUCGCAGAAUUCCAUUGGUAAUAUGUCUGCUGGAGGAAGAUCGAGCAGUGAUGUAAUAAUGGCCAACAUUUUGGUUUGGACACAACAAGACGUCAAUAACUUGCCCUGGGGCUAGGUUUAAAGAACUUGUAAAGGAACGAUUGGUAUAGGUCCCAUUUUGUCCGACAAUCGUCAAUCUGUGUUUUUCGAUGUCAAACACCAUUGUUUCAUUGGCAACAGCAUUUAUUACGCGAAUAAGGUAAAGGCCCUGCCCUGGCAAUCUACUUGCAUCUCAAAAGUUGUAUCUACAACAUCAAAAUUGUUGGAUUAUUAGCAUUCACAGUAAAGGUUUCUGCAUAAAAGUUAAUCUGUUAUCAGUUUUCAUUUCAUGCUGUAUGGCCCAGGGAAGAGGAUGCUUAAUUCAUGUGAUGCAAACUUACGUAUUAAAAGUACAAAAUAGAGUUAAUAAAAAAAAAGAUUUUGAUGGGUCCAACAUCUCGGAUUUUAGUCUUAUGAAUAUCUUACCUGACUUAACUUGGAAACAGUGAGGCCUAAGUUAUUACCAGAUAUCAGAUACCAGAAAAAGAAAAAGUCUAAACAAUAGCGGAUACGUACCGUUGCUGCAUCCAUAUGUUUCUCCGGGAUGGCCAUUGAUAGUGUAAGCAUCUGCUGAGCCAGGAGCUAUGGUUUGAUUAGCUUCCGUUAACUCUUCCCUGAACCAUUCCCCUAACGGAAUAUUAUGCCAAAACAUCCAUAUAAGCAAUUAAUUUGCAAAAUAUAUGAAUCAAACAUGUUAAUCAGAUGUACCAAGUAUAAUUGUUUGAUCAGAAGUAGGUGCAGGGAAAGGAUAGUCUUCAUUGGCUACUGGCAAAAUGACAAAGGCACCGUGGGCAGUUGCAGCAGCCCAAGCCCUGGUAGCUUGCCACCUCAGAGUUCCUAUUUCAUCCCUGUUGGAGCUUGGACCAAAGAAACAAGCAAAAUGAGAAGCUUGUGCAGCAAGCCUCGUGGCUUGGUGAAGAAACAAAAAACAGAAAUUUGCUUUAGAGAACAAGAACAGAAUUGAAAACAAGAAAAAUAGAGCAUGAAAGAUGAAUGAAAUGUGAUAAAUUUCAUUAACUUGAACAAUGGCAUAAUGCCAAUACAUAAAUCAAGCUUUUUGCUUGUCAAAAUCAGCAUAAGGUCAACUAAUAUACACCAACUACCACUAAUACAUUGGAACUUACAAAACUAAACUUGUACACAUAAGUAAAGCUGGUUAACAGCUCAAUCACAUUAAAAAUACAUCAAACUUCUGCCUAAUAUACUUCAAAAUGAACUAAAAUAAGUUACAUUGACUAAAAUGACAAAAAGAACAACAAAAUAAACUGCAGCACUUGGCUUGGCAGCUUCUGGUCUUGGUCUGCUUUGCUUGGUCUGAUGGCUGGUGCAUGAGCUGCAUGGAGGGCCACAUUCUAACACUCCUCCUUGGUUUCCAUGCUGCUAAUUCCAAGUUCUUUCCUUAACUUAAUGAACCUUGAAGCAUUAAGGGCCUUCGUGAAAAUAUCAGCAACUUGUUCCUCUGAAUUGCAAUGAAUUAGCUCUAUUUCUCGAGCUUGUUCCAUCUCUCUUACCACAUGCAAUUUAAUGUUGAAGUGUUUGGUUCUACCAUGGAAUAUAAGGUUCUUUGCAAUUGUAACAGCAGACUUGUUAUCACAAAAGAUCUCUGUUGCUUUCCUUUGAUGCAGGUUCAAAUCAGCUAAAAUCUUCCUUAGCCAAAUGGCUUGAUUGACAGCAUUAGCAGUAGCAACAUACUCAGCUUCUGUUAUUGAUUGAGCAACUAUUGAUUGCUUCUUGGAACUCCAGCAAAACACAGUUGAACCAAGGGUAAAAGCAUACCCUGAGGUGCUUUUCAUAUCAUCCAAGGAACCAGCCCAAUCACUGUCAGUGUAUCCCACUAAUUUCAAUCUUUCAGUCUUGCCAAACUGAAGUCCAUAGUUUAGAGUCCCUUUGAUGUAUCUCAGUACCCUUUUUGCUACUUGAUAAUGCUUUUCAAUGCAAAAAUGCAUGAAUCUUGACAGUAGGCUUGUGGCAAACAUAAUGUCUGCUCUUGAUGUAGUUAGAUAUAGCAAACAACCUACUAAACUUCUGUAGGUGGAUUCACUAACCUGCUCAUGAUCUCCUUGGCUCGAUAGCUUUGAUCCAUUGAGAACUUGUUGGUUUGCAGUUCUCCAUUGAGAACUUUUUCAGAUUUUCAUAGCAAAUGUCUUUUGGCUUAAGAAGAUUCCAUCUAUAGUUUGAAAUACUUCCAAUCCUAGAAAGUAUGUCAUUUGCCCCAAAUCAGACAUCUCAAACAUUUCCAUCAUUUUGGCUUUGAAAUCAGCCAACAUUCUUUGAUCUCUUCCUGUGACCAAAAGAUCAUCAACAUACAUGGACAUAAUGAGCUGUGUUACAGCUUGUUUUUUCUUGACAUACAAGGUUGGCUCACUAGAACUCCUUUCAAAUCCCAAGCUGACCAGGUAACUGUCGAUCCUGCUAUACCAGGCCCUUGGUACCUGCUUUAGGCCAUAAAAAAGCCUUCUUCAAUCUGUACACCAUGUCUUCUUUACCUGACACAACAAAGCCUUGAGGUUGGUCAAUGUAAAUCUCUUCUUUAAGGAAACCAUUAAGAAAUACAGACUUUACAUCCAGUUGAUGAAUGAUCCACUGCCUUUGUGCAGCUAAAGCAACUAGCAAUCUGAUUGUAUCUAGCCUGGCUACUGGUGCAAAAGUCUCCAUGUAGUCCAGGCCAUACUUUUGGCUAAAGCCCUUCACAACUAACUUGGCUUUGAGCUUGUUUAAGCUCCCAUCUGCAUUCUGCUUGGCUCGAUAGACCCAUUUUACCCUAAUGACCUUCCUAUUGGUUGGUUUUUCAACCAAUUCCCAUGUUUGGUUCUUUUCAAUCAUGGCCAUUUCAUCAAACAUUGCUUGUUUCCAGCCUUCAUGUGAUUCAGCUUCUUCAAAACUACUUGGUUCAACUGUAGCCAUAUGUGCCCUCUCAUAAAUUUCAGCCAAUGGUCUGGUUCUCCUGACUGGUUCUUCAUCAAUGUCCAUUUCUGGACCAUUUUGUUCUGGCUCAGUCUGAUCAGCCACAAGUUAUUCAGAAAUAGCCUCAGGUUCAUUUUUUUUCCAAUUCCAGGUUGCUUUUUCAUUGAACACUACAUCUCUGCUCACCAUCACUUUAUUUGUUGAAGGAUCCAAGAUCCUAUAGCCCUUCUUAACUGAACUGUAACCUAUCAGAAUGCUUCCUUGAGCUCUUUUAUCUAGCUUGCUUCUUCUUACAGCUGGUACUUGUGCAUAACACAAACAACCAAAGACUCUCAAGUGAGCCAGUGAUGGCUUGAAUCCAAACCACCCUUCAAAUGGAGUUUUUUGGUCUAAAGCCUUGGUUGGGAGCCUGUUUUGAAGGUAGACAGCAGUGUUAACUGCUUCAGCCCACAAGGUUUUGGGCAGAUUUUUCUCAAACAGAAGGCACCUGGCCAUAUCCAUCAAACUUCUAUUCUUUCUUUCACUAACCCCAUUUUGCUGAGGUGUGUAGACAUUGGUGAGCUGAUGUUUGAUGCCAGCAUCAUUACAGAGGGCUUGAAACUGAGCUAAGAUGUACUCAGCUCCAUUAUCUGACCUGAUGGUCUUUAAUUUAUAGCCUGUUUCUGUUUCAACUGCAGCUUUGAACUUUGCAAACACUUAAGCUACUUCUGACUUAUGUUUCAAAAAGAAAAUCCAACAAUAUCUGGUAUGAUCAUCAAUAAAGAGAAUGAAAUACUUACUUCCAUUCAGAGAAUCUUUCUUCAUGGGGCCACAGACAUCUGUGUGCACCAGUUCCAACUUGCUUGAUGCUCUCCAGGUUGUGUUUGUAGGAAACGAAAGCCUGGCUUACUUUCCCAUUUGACAAACCUCACAAAUAUCUUCAUUCUGAAUUAACUUGGUGAAGUUUUCAACCAUUUCCUUGCUGACCAUUCGAGCCAUCGAUCUAAAGUUGGCACGACCAAGUCAUUGAUGCCAAAGCUUAGUGUCUUCUGUUGAAGCAACAUGAGCUGAAUGUAAGUCACCUGACCAGUUGACUUCAAAGAAUUUGUCACUCAUGGUGACUGUCAUGAGGCUUGAUCCAUUUGGAUCAGUGAUUUGGCACUCCUGGCCCUUGAACACAACAGAGUAGCCCCUUUCAAGUAGUUGAGAAAUGCUGAGAAGGUUCCUGUCGAUCUCAGGUACCAGUAGCACAUUUGUGAUGACUUUGUCUCCUUUGGAAGUGCAUAUUAGCACAUCUCCUCUUCAUUUAGCUUUGAUGAACUAACCAUUUCCAAUUUUUACCUUGGUUUUGCAAAAUCUGUCCAAGGUUUUAAAAAUGUUAGCAUCUGGUGACAUGUGGUUAGUGCAACCACUGUCCAGUAACCACCCUUUUGAGCCUUUGCCUUGACCAGCUAGACAUGAUAUAGCAAAUACCUGCUCUUCGUGGUCACUACUGUCUUCAGCCACUCUAGCUUCUUCACUCUUGUUUUCUGCUUGAUUCUGCCUAGGUCUGCCUUUUUCUUUGCAGACCCUUUCAACAUGACCUUUCUUCUUGCAAUGUUGGCAUAAGGUAUCUGGUCUGAACCAGCAUCUAGCCUCUGGAUGACCAGGUCUUUUACAAAAUUUGCAGAGUUGAUCUCCUUCUCUUGUGGCAUCAGGCUUAGGCUUAUUUUUCCAGUUCUUCUUGCCUUUAUAGGCUGAGGUGCUCGAGGCUGCUUUGGCCUUAGCUUGAAAAGCACCCUCCUGGUGCUACUCCAUUUGCUGGCUUUCCUUUGCUCCUGAGCAUAAAGAGCAUUGAUAAGCUCAGUUAAGGAUAUACUUGCCAUGUCUCUUGAAUCCUCUAGGGAUGAGAUUUUUAUCUCAUAUCUUUCAGGCAAUAUUGAGAGUACCUUCUCCACAAUGCUUGCCUCACUGAACUAUUCUCAUAGACCCCUUAUGCUGUUGACCACAGCCAUUAUCCUGUCUGAGUAUUGCUUCACUGUCUCUUCUUCCUUCAUCUUCAAAUUUUUAAAAUCUUUCGUCAAAUUCAACAAUACUGCUGCCUUGUUCUUUCAGUGCCUUGAAAAUCCUCAUUGAGCUUGUCCCAGGCUUGCUUAGGAGUCUCACAAGCCAUGAUUCUAGUGAAGAUAACAUCAGAAACACAGUUCUGAUUGCAUGACAUGGCCUUGUGCCUUUUGGUCCUCUCAUCUGUAUGCUGUCUGAUUUGAGCCACUAUGGGAUUGGCUCAAAGUGGAGCUGGCUCGACAUCAGUAUUGACAACUUCCCAUAGAUCAAAGGCCUGCAAGUAAGUCCUCAUCUUGACAACCCAUAUGUGAAACCCCUCACCAUUAAAGACUAGUGGUGCUGCAGGAGAAAAGCCUGAUGAAGCCAUUCAGUUUACUACUACAGGUCCCCUAAGAUGAAAGCUCUUGAUACCAAUUGUUGGAGCUUGGAACAAAGAAACAAACAAAAUGAGAAGCUUGUGCAGGAAGCCUCGUGGCUUGGUGAAAAAACAAAAAAUAGAAAUUUGCUUUAGAGAACAAGAACAGAAUUGAAAACAAGAAAAAUAGAGCAUGAAAGAUGAAUGAAAUGUGAUAAAUUUCAUUAACUUGAACAAUGACAUAAUGCCAAUACAUAAAUCAAGCUUUUUGCUUGUCAAAAUCAGCAUAAGGUCAACUAAUCUACACCAACUACCACUAAUAUAUUGGAACUUACAAAACUAAACUUGUACACAUAAGUAAAGUUGGUUAACAGCUCAAUCACAUUAAAAAUACAUCAAACUUCUGCCUAAUAUAGUUCAAAAUGAACUAAAAUAAGUUACAUGGACUAAAAUGACAAAAAGAACAACAAAAUAAACUGCAGCACUUGGCUUGGUAGCUUCUGGUCUUGGUCUGCUCUGCUUGGUCUGAUGGCUGGUGCAUGAGCUGCAUAGAGGGCCACAUUCUAACAAUCCCCUAACUCUAUAUUGUAAGUGAAGUUUCUUCCUGGCUGAAUUGUAUUCUUCGAACCAUCAAUUGUAUCCUCAACGCCCUCCCUACAAACCCACAAACAUAUAUCUAUAUAUAUGAUUUAAGUGUUUGAUCGUAAACUAGGAGUGUAAGCAUCUACAUAUAUGUAUAUAUUAGUAUUACCAGUCGAGGGAAACAGCAUGGUUUGCUUGAUUGUGGACAUUGACAGAAACUGUAUGCCCUCUACGAACCCGAAUCUCAGGCCCUGGAAAGCUGCCAUUGAUAGUCAAGAUGAUCUUCGUGCUAUACAGCUUUGUGAACGGGGAUUCUUGCAACUGAUUUAAAUAAAACCCAAAAUCAAAAUUCAGCACUGCUCUCUCUUAUUAACACAAACACAAACAGCUGGAGUUUAGCAUGUCAAUCAGACCAGAUUGGCUGAAGGAAGAAUCCGAGAAUAUAUGUGGAUAUUCUGUUCUUACUGUGCUUUGAUUUAUGACCUAAUGUUUCUUAUCUGGUAAACUAUAAACAUAAGCAUGUUAAUAUGUUUGAAUUGGUGUUAUUUUCUUCAGGUUUAUACAAAAAGAAUGGUAAUGUUCAGAGAGGUUGCAACCUUUUUGGUUCAGCUAAGGUCUCAGUUUGCGGGUUCAACCUUAAACCUUAAAGAUUCCUUAAAAGUAUUCUCUGAUGUUGAAGAGAUGCUGGAACUGGAAGCUUCUGAAUUUGAGGUUGGUUUCUCUUCGUCUUUCUGAUAAGUUGUUGGGUGUUGUUGCUUUUACUUCUUUUUCAUAUGUUCCAUUGGGAAAAAAUUGCAGCUAAACAUUCAGAAUGUUGUUGCAAAUAAUGGAAAUGUAAACUUAGGUUCUCACAAACUCCUCAGCUCGAACAGACUAAGGUGGGACCUUCUUUUAGAAGCAUGCAUUUGGGAUCGACACUUGCAUUCUCUGCUGUUGCCUAAUCCGACAGUAGUAGUUGCUGGUGCCAACAACAAAGCAGUGGUGGAGCAGCUGAAGUUGCAUACUGAUAGUGCUGAUGGAGAGGACAGUGGUAGAGAAAGUAAACCUAUAGAUGGUGAUAAAGGUUCUGAAAAUACUGGAAAUAAGAAAGCUUAUUCAGGUUCUUUGGUUGGAGGUAAUAAAUUUCCUGGUUAUGAAUUAUCUUCAAAUAUUCCUGUUAAAAAAUCUGAAGGAUGUGACAGCAUACAAGGGGGUGUUACUGAGGUUGAAAACAUUGAAAACCCAAAAGUAGAUGCUGUUACGAAAUCAUCUGUACCAGAGUCCGUUGUGGCACAUGAUAUUUCUGUUUGUUCCCAUUUUGGUGAUGAGAACUAUCAAACAGAAGAUGCAACUAUAUCAGGUCCUUUACAAGUGGAUAGAACAAUCUUAAUUUCCAAUGAUCUUGAUGACAAUGAUUCUAUGAUUGAUUCAAAUGAAUCAAAGAUUGAUGGAUCUCCGCAUUCCUUACUAUCCAGUUUAGAAAAUGUAAAUGGAUGGUUCUGGAUGCCUUUUUCUGAAAUCAGACAGAUAUACACGAAGGACCUUCAAAGAGGAAAUGUCCCCAAGUUUGAAUCCAUCAGUGGUUAUACUCCAUCACAAAUACCCACAGGCUGUCAAUUAAUCAGGGAGGAAGCAUCCAGGCUACGCAUACCUCUAGGAACUACUGAUUAUAUUGUGUCAGAUUAUGAAGGUGAACUCUCGAGUAUAAUUGCUUGUGCAUUGGCAUUGCUGAAAGAUCUGCCUGCUGGAACUGAAGUGUCUAAUCAAGAUGGGAGGAGAGACAGACUAGUUGAAAGUUUACGAAGCCUAAGUCGUGUUCCUAUUUUAACGUCCCUGUAUUGGUCGUCCAGUGGUUCCUCUAAUUCAGAGUCUGUCUCUAGUCUGAGUAUUUCUUCAGAAAAGUCGUGCUCCAGUUUUGAUGGGUUAAGCUUGUUGGAUUCUCUAGUUCCUCCUGAUGCGCAUAACAUAGGGGUUUCUCUAGGGGUUUCAAAAUCACUUGGGAAGGGUAAAUACUCGGUAUUUUAUUUAUAUACUAACCAGUUUCGUGAUCUUCGAGAGCGAUGCUGCCCUUCAGAGCUUGAUUAUAUUGCUUCCCUUAGCCGAUGCAGAAAUUGGGAUGCCAAAGGAGGGAAGAGCGUGUCAUUUUUUGCUAAAACACUUGAUGAUAGGUUUAUUAUAAAAGAAAUCCAGAAGACAAAAUAUGAAUCAUUUGAGAAGUUUGCUUUACAUUAUUUCAAGUACAUGAACCAAUCAUUUGAGUCUGGAAGCCAAACUUGCCUUGCUAAAGUUCUUGGGAUUUAUCAGGUUUGCUUUCCUUUUCAUUUUAAAAAAUAUGCGAUUGCUUUAUUCUUUGCUCUUUUUUUUUUAACAUUUAAACAUUUUGUAGGUAAUAGUAAGACAGCCUAAAACAGGGAAAGAGACAAGACAUGAUCUUAUGGUGAUGGAGAAUCUUACCUUCGGUAGAAAUAUUACUCGCCAGUAUGAUCUUAAAGGGGCCUUGCACGCUCGAUUCAAUUCAGCUGCUGAGGGUUCUGGAGAUGUUCUUUUGGAUCAGAACUUUGUCAAUGACAUGAAUUCCUCUCCAUUAUAUGUUAGUAAUCAAGCCAAGCGUCUCUUGCAACAGGCUGUAUAGAAUGACACAACUUUCCUCAAUGUGAGUUUUAAUUUUUUUCUACGGGACUUUUCCUUGCUCGAACUAGAUGCAUUCUUUCUUUUCUUGAAUAAAUUUUGCCCUUAUAGUAUUCAGCACUCCCCAUCAACCCCAACAUCCCAAACCCCUCCAUCAACCCCAUAUCAUCUAUAUAUUUCCCUUGUAUGUUAUAUUCCUCAAAUUUGGAAUGAGGUGUUGACUGAGUUGUGUUCCCUUGUACAGUCAAUCAAUGUAAUGGGUUAUUCUUUACUUGUUGGGUUGGAUACGGAGCGGCGGGAGCUUGUAUGUGGGAUCAUUGAUUAUCUCAGGCAGUAUACUUGGGACAAACAACUUAAGACAUGGGUUAAGUCUUCAUUGGUUGUUCCUAAGAAUUUGUUGGCAACUGUGAUUUCUCCCAAGGAAUAUAAGAAAAGAUUCAGAAAGUUCAUGUCAACUUACUUUUUGAGUGUCCUUGAUCACUAGUGUUCACAGGGAUCCUCUGACCCUUGCCAACUGUGUGGCACUCCAAAUGAUGCCUCGUCUCAACCCGAGUCCCUAAAUGGUAUUUCUGCCUAGUUCUUGUAUUCCUUGUUUCCCAUUUAUUCUUUGAAUCAUCCCUCUUUUUUUAUAGCCAGUUGAAAAAUGUUGUGUGUAUAUAUAUACCCAACCCCAUUAUAAUACAAUUUUUAGCAAAUUUGUGGGGAUAGUUUCAACUAGCAUUCGUCGUAUGUUCAGAAUUUUGUAUGGUCAAGUGAGAAUGUAAAGACCCGAGGUUAUUGGAAGAUUGAUAAUGUAAAAUCAAUUUAGAGUUUCAGCUACCAAUUUGUAUUCUUGGUGCCUUUUCCUGUUGUUGUAUUUAUGUGUUUUUUUCCUUCUGAAUUUCUGCUAUCAGCCUCUGGAAUUACUACUGCUGCAUACAGUUGCUAUACUUUUAUUUUAAUUUUUGUGUAAUUUAUAAUGAUCCAGGUUUAUUUAUAUAAGUAAUUGAAUUAAUAGAUAAAUUUAAUUUCUAUUAUAACUUAAUUAAAAAAAGUACUCUUAAUCUAUAUUGUUUUCCCAAAUAAUUACCUAAACACUUUUUUCUUUGGGUCAAUAUAGAUACUCAAACUGUUGUGUGGUUACCUAUUUAACCCUAAACCUUGUCCAAAAAAAAUUGUUCAAUCAGAAGUUACCACGUCACUUUGUAAGCAAUAUAUUUUAAAAUUUACAUGAAAUUUUAAAAAAAACAAAGAAAAAAUAAAAAUGAGUUUUAAUUAAAUUUAUUAUCGUAAUUAAUAGUUUUGUUUACCCAAAUUAUAACUUUUACCAUUUGUUUCUUUUCGGUAAUCAAAACCAAACUGUUCAUUUUCUUUCUAGGAUCAUAAUCUUCCAUUAUCAUUUGGGUUUAGGUUUUCAUGUUCAUAGUUUGAUUUGUUUGUUUUGAGAUUUUCCUCUAAAGCUGUAACAGCCUAAUUUUCAGUGGUGUUGGAACAGUGAUUCGAGAUCACGAAAUCCGACAAAUGAGUAGGAAAUAUUAUUAAUUUAGUGAGUAUAAGUUAAAUGUGAAGUUAGGAAAAAUUUUGAAAUAGUAAAAUGUACAAAUAUAUAUAUUAAAAUAAUUAGAAUUGAAAACGAGGUAUCGAGACCUCGGGAAUUUUAAAUCGAGCCAUAAAUAUUUUUAUAAAUAUUUAUGGAGUGUUAAUAAGUUAGUAUUAAAGUUUCGUCAAGAAAUUUUAAAGUACUGAUAGCUAAUUGAACAAAAAGGACUAAAUUGUAUCAAAUGUAAAAUUGUGGGAAAUGAUUAAAUAGCUUAAAUGAUAAAAGAAAGAGGGUUUAAAAUGAAAAUAGACCCAAGGUCUAUUUGGGCUGGACGACAAGAGCAUGAAAUCACCAAGAAAAUAAGGGAAAAAUUAGAAAAUUGCAAAAUUUACUUAAUAAAGCUAGGACUAAAGUGGAAUUAUCUAGAUUUCUCUUUAUUUUUCUGCAUUCUCAUCAGCAAAAACACCAUGGAAGAGUUCCCUUAAGCUGGGUUUUAAUAUUUUUACUGCAAGUAAGUUCAAUUCUUGAUUAUUUCUUGAAAUUUUUGUGUUUUUUGUGACUUUUACAACUAGGUCCAUUUGUUGAAUUCAUUAGUUCUUGAUUCUAUGAAAGAAAUUGAAAGUUUCUAUGAAUAUGUGCUGGAAGUAUAUGAUGAUUUGACAUAGAAUUAGAGUUUUAAAUUGUUUAUAUGCUGAUUUUAUUGAAAGAAUUGAAUAGAAAGUGAAUGUUUGGGACCUAAAUUGUAAAAGAGUUUGAAGUUAGAGUUUUAUGUGGAAAUUCUGAAUUUCAAUAGUUAUGAAAUAACUUAUAAUGUCUAGGAAAAGCAUUAAUUGAGAAAAUUAGUUUAAUUGAGGGGUUAAUUAAGUAAGGACUGAAUUGUAUGAACUGUGAAAUUUGGGGCAAAAUGAAAAUCAACAUUUUGCACUAAAACAGUUUUGGACAGCAGCAAUAGUCUAACUUUGAAAAAUCUCCAAAAAUUUUAGAAAUCUAAUUAGAGGAUGAAUAAAAUAUGAAAUUAAAGCUUAUUGAGUCUAGUUUCUUAUAGAAGCACGGUGUAAGCAAUAGAAUUGUAAAUCAUGAAAUAUAAUAAGUUUUGUGAGACAAUGUUAGAAUGAUUUCGGGUUCCCCUGUUCUGACUUUGGAAAAUCAUAAAAAAUUGGAGAAAAAUAAUUAAGGGAUUAAAUUUAUAUGUUUAAAAUCCUUAAAGAGUCUAUUUUCAAUAGAAAUAAGCGGGAACAUCAUCCGAAUCUCGUACGAUAAGAUAAUUAAUUCUUAGUGAAGAAGGGUCGGAACUGUCAAACAGCAGAACAGGGGAAAUUUUAAAGAAUAAACUGUACUUAUUGGCUAAACCAAAAAUUCUGAAAAUUUUAUGGUAAUAAGAUAAGUAAGUCUAGUUUCGGGGAAAAUUAGUGGAUCUUAAUUUUGAGUUCUGUAGCUUAAGAUAUAAAUAAUUUAGUGACUAUGACGCAAAUGGACAGUUUUGAAUAUAUAUAAGUAAAUAGUGAAAUUAUUGAUAAUGUUACUUGUUGCAUGUUAUAUAAAUUAAGGUUGUGGAAUGGAAAGGAGGAGGAGGAAAAUAUGUAUGAAUAUUCAGCUAGCAUAGCUAAUUUGCAUAUUUUAGGCUCAGGGACUAAAUUGAAUAAAAGUAAAACUUUAUGGUAAUUUUGUAAAAAUGUCAGAAAUGACCAAAUUGCAUGAAAUGGAUUAUUUUAUUAUUUAAAUUAAAAAAUUGAAUGAAAUUAUUAAUUUAGCUCAAGAUCAGGGAAAAACAUGUUUUAAGGAUUAAAUUUAAAAGUGUUGAAAUUAUGGAAAAUUCUGACAUUUUAUAGAAUUCAUAGGUUGUUAUCAAUUUGUGUGAGAAUAACUGCUAGAAAUAAGGAUUAAAUUGCAAUAAUUUUAUUUUAUUUUAAUCUAAGGAUGAAAUUGUCAUUAAUUAAAAUUUUAGGGGUAAAAUGAUAAUUUUGUUUAGAGCAUUAGUUGAAUGUAUUAUAUCAUGAAAUAAAUGAAAACGAAGAUCAAAUUUCUUUAUAAAGAUCACGAUGACUUGAAUACGAGACUUGAACGUGGAAAAGAAAAGAUGUCGGAUUAAUGAAAUAUCUGAUAAAUGAAUCGGUAACUCGGGUAAUGCUCCGUAACUCUAUUCCGGUGACGGAUUCGGGUUAGGGGCUUUAAAAAAGCCAUUCCCCCUCACUGGUUCUCUUGUCUUUGUGCACUGUUAAAUAUGGAAGUUCUUUUUUCUUUCAUUUAGCUGGAUUUCUAGAUAUGGGUAAGCUCAAUUCUUCAUUAUUUCUUCGUUCAAUUGUUAAUGGUGGAAGGAAUCUUUCCAGUUACACUUUUUCUUUUUCUUGUUCUUUUAACACCAUUAUUACCCAAAUCGAAGCUUUUUAGUAAAUCUUCAAUGUCAGUAAGGGGAAACCGGAAAAAGUAUGACCGCUUCAAUAAUGUUGAUGAUGCUUUGACUUUGUUUAAUAAUGUAAUUGAGAAGUACCCAGAGUCUUGGAUUUUGGAAUUCACUAAACUAUUAGCCGCCAUUGUUAGAAUGAAACAAUAUGCCGUAGUUGUUUCUAUGUAUAGCCAAAUGGAAUUAUUAGGAGUUUUCCAUAACGUGUAUUCUUCGAACAUCUUGAUUAAUUCCUUUUGUCAGUUAUAAAUCAAAUUGAUUUUGGGUUUUCUGUUUUGGGGAAGAUGUUGAAGUUAGGUGUUGAGCCUGAUGCUGUAACUUUGUCUGCUUUGAUCCAUGGAUUUUGUAAACAAAGUAAUAUUUUGCAGUCUGUGAAAUCAGUGCCUUUUUGCCGUAAUAAGAUUGCACUCCCCUUGAACUAAUAUGAUGUUUUGAGCUUCCACUUGACAUCUCUGAAAUGAAGUCGGAUCUUGAAAAUAAUUCAUCUGCAGGUUCAGAAAUUGAAGAAAAAAUUUAAAAGAAAAAAAAAACCAGCUUCUAUCGUGAGGGAGAGGGAUAUAUAAGGUUGAAGAAAGGGAAAAAAAAAGAAUAAGGUAAAUUACACCAAUCAAUCACUCAACUUUAGGGUAGCUAACAAAAUAGUCACCUAGGUUUCAUUUCAGUCACCCAACUUUUGAAAAAUAACAAAACAGUCACUAAGGUUAUAAAAAAGUGAUAAAACAGUCAUUUACUAACAGUUUCUGUUAGUGUCUUAACAGAACUGCUGAUGUGGCAAGUUAACUGGCUGAUGUGGCCAGUUAACUUGCCACGUUGGAUGAAGAGAUUGAAAAAAUCCCCUAAAAAAACCCUUUAAUAGAGAAGAGGAAGAAGAAGAAGGAGAAAAACAGUCACUGAAUUCGCCCUUUUCACGUAAAUUAAGUACAUAAGCUCAUUGAAUAAAAAAGAACAAGAUAGGUUUACAGCCGUUUUACCAACACAAUGAUACAACUGCUUACAAACAAACAAGCAGGCCCCUGCCAUUUACAAACAGGAACAUCAAAAAACACAAACAAGACAACAUAAAUACCAUCAAUAGAGGGAACAACAAAUUUAGAAACACGAAAGUCAGUCGCCAAUCCUCCCAAUAUUAACUCUGUCGAAACUAUUUUUUUGAAAAACGGGGAUCGAUUUUAUAUUUUGAAAAGAAAAUGAAAAUGGGGAGUUGCCACUAAUCCCUUUUUAUUGAGGUGUGAUCGGGUUGCCUCGUAAUUUUAUUGUUUUAAUAAAACGUUUUUUUUACUAAAAAUUUGACUUUGGUCUACGAGAUUCGAGAAAACGGGUUCGGGAGUUGGUUACUACGAGGAAGGAUUAGCACCCUCGUAACGCUCAAAAUUGGUACCAAAUUGAUUAAUUAACGUCUUAAUGUUGAAAGUUGAAAAGAUUUUAAAAUAAAUUUUAAAAAUAUGAUCCCUUUUAUGCAUGUUUAGAUAUCUUGAAGUGGAUAUUAAGAUUCUCUUGUUUCGAAGAAAUAAAAUAUCACAUCCAACACGUAGUGUAAAGACCCAAAAUCCGUGAGCACCGGAAGAGUGUGUUAUCGGGCCUCCAUCUUAGUGAAAUAAGUUUGAAAAUAAUUAUUAAAAAUAUUUAUGAGUCUAGUGGUGUGUCUAAUUAGGUUUUAAUUAAGUAAAUUUAGCUUAAUUUAGAGUAAUUAGCAAAAAAGGAUUAAAUUGAAUAAGGGUAAAAGUUUAAUUAUAGAUUUAAGAAAAACUAAAAGGACUAAAGGGGAAAUAAACCAUUUCCUAUAGCUGAGGCCGUUUAACGUGGAAAAAAAAUAUCAAAGAUUUUAUUGAUUAAAAUAUAUAUAUUUGUUUAAUAAUUAAGUAUAUUAUAUUAUAUUAUAUUAUAUUAUAUUAUAUUAUAUUAUAUUAUAUUAUAUUAUAUUAUAUAUAAAAGAAACAAAUGAGUUAAAAGAAACAGAAAUGAAAAUGAAAACAGAGAAGAAACAGCGGAGAAAGAAGAAAAAGGAAAAUUUAGGUUUCAAGGUUCAAAAUUAAAUUGGUAAGUCAAUGUAAUCCUUUUUCUUGUAAUUUUUAAGUUUUUGGAGUUCUAGGAAAAAUAUGUCAUGAUUUAUAUUGAAAUUUUGAAAGAUAGUAGAUUUCUAAACAUGAGUUAUGUUGAACAAAUGAUGGAAUUGGGGGUUUAUUUGAUAGAAAAUUUGAUUAGAAUUGAAUAAAGGAUUGAAUUGUAAACUAAGCUAUAAGUUUUUGAGUUUUAGGGAUUAAAUUGAAAUAAAUUCGAAAUUAUGAAAACAUGAUAAAAAUUAAGUAGUUAGAUGUGAGUUUGGCAAGAAAUUGAGUAGCAAAAAGGUAUGAAUUGAGAAAGAAAAAUAUAUAGGUUUAGUUGGGAUUAAAUUGGAAUUAAAGUAAAAGUUAGAUAAAAAUUUCAGCAUUUAAAUUGUGUUAUGCUAAUAAUUGUGAAAUUAUUUUAAUUGUUCGUAGCUAAUAUCGAGCCUGAGGCAUCGGCCCAAAAAGGAAAAGGAAAGAUCGUUGAGGAUUAAAUCCGAAGAAAAUUCUAGUUUGUAUCACUAUAACUCAAGCUUUAUAAUUAAUAUGUGUUUAAUUUAAUAUGAAUGUGUGGUAAGUAUUUUAAGGUAAGUAUUUAAUGAACUGAUAAAAUUUGUGAUUGGGUAUUAAAAUUGAGAUUGAUACUGAAUUGAAUUAUGGGAUACUGAAUAUUGUUUUGAAUACUGAAUUGAACUGUGAAAUUACUGAAUAAUGUUACGUAUAUUGUAUUGAACUGUAAAAUUUCUAAUGAAGUGAAUUACAGUAUUACUGUGAAAAUUGAUCAAAAUAAUAAAUUAUAAUUAAUGUUGAAUCGAAAUGGAAAUUGUACUGAAAAAUGAUUUAAAUACCCUAUUAACUAGUCGGGCUAGUUGGAUAUAGUUGGCAUGCCAUAGGAUAUGGAAGAGCACGGGUUUUUCCCGGCUUACUGAUUAGGCACUUAUGUGCCGACUACUGUUACUGUUACCGUUACUGUUAUUUAUUCGACACUUUGUUUGUUGAAUACUGUUACCGUUAAUGUUACAAAUUCAGCACUUUGUGUGUUGAUUACUGCUACUGUUGCUGCUACUGCUACCGUUACUGAUUGCUGAUUAGGUACUGUGUACUGUUUGUUGGUUGGAAUCCGUGUAUCCGCCAAGUCCGAGUCAAGUUAAUAGGGGCAAAUGAAAUAAAUCUACUGAUAAAACUAAAUUUGAAUAAUAUGGCAUAUGUGAAAGUUGAGAAUUGAAACAAAGAAAUAAGAAUGGUAUAUAUAUAAUUGAAUAAUAAAAUAAAAAAAGAUUGAAUUGUUCAUUAAGUGAUGAUGAUUGUAAUGUAAAAGUAUGUGUGUGAUUUAAUGUAUUUAAUUAUAAACUGAAUUAUAGUGAUACCACUGAGUAUAUGCAUACUCAGCGUACGGUUGUUUCCGUGCAUAGGUUGUAGAAGUCAAGUACUGAACCAGCAUCCAAAGCCAGACCCGACUUCAGCAAACUUUUGGUGAUGUAUAUUUUCUUUUGGUAGUGUGGCAUGUACAUAGGAUGUGUAUAAAAGUUAUUAUGUUUUGAAUAUAAAUGAUUUAAAAUGUUAGUUUUACAAGUCUAAGAAUUAUAAUGAAAAAGUUUAUCCAUUUCAAUUUAAUUAGUACAAUGAUAAAUUUAAAUUAAUAUUAUAUUGAUUAAGUUAGUUAGAAGGUAAUUAGAAUAGAAAAUGAAUGUGUGAAAUAAAUUGGUUGAAUUGGUUAUGUUUGAAAUGGAUAUGGUUUUAAUUGCAGGGGGUUUUAUGUAAAAAUAAGCAAAAAUGCUGUCAAAAUUUAUAAAAUAAAAAAUAAAAAAAAUUGGAGUACUUAAACGAGUUCGUUUCACUUAAAUGUAUGCUUUAGACUUUGAGAGUUCAAUAUAGGGAUUUAGUAACCAAAUUAUGCUAAGAAUGUUAUUUUAUUUGUGAAUUAUUCAUAAGUUGUCUUAUACGCUCGGUAAUGCCUCGUAACUCUGUUCCAGCGACGGUUCCGGGUUAGGGGGUGUUACACGUAGGACAGGACAUUUCAAACCUUCGAUACCAAAAUCAUCUCGUAAUUUCUAAAACUUAUGCAUAGGAAUUUUUAAAAAAAAUAUUCGGUUGUUCGAUAAAAAUGCAAUUGUGUGAAACAAUUAAGAUUCUCUUGUUUCGAAGAAAUAAAAUAUCACAGUACAAAACAUUUCAAACCUUCAAUACCGAAAUCAUCUCGUGAUUUUCAAAACUCAUGCAUUUAAAAAAAUUUAAAAGGAUAUUCCGUUGUUUGGUCAAACAAUAAAUCGAAACCCAACACGUAGGGCACGAUUUUCUCGAUAUUUCCAAACACGAAAUAUUGCCUUUAUUAAAGAAUCUCUUUUUUAUGAAUUUAAGGUGAAGAUUAAUGCAACAUUUAAAAUGAUAUACAAUAUGUGAUUCAAUGUUAUGAUGACAAUGACAAAAUUACAAAGGUAGAUACAAUAUUGGUAAACAAAUCUCGAUCAAUGAGCGAAGCAAUAAAACAGGGAUACAUGAUGUAAAAAAUAAACAAACAUAACGUAAAAUGUUUAAAAAUGAAUGGGACAAUGAAACCAUGUACAUAAAAGGAAACAAAUGAUGAACAGAAGCUUGAGUAAAUAUUAAUAGUAAGAAAAUAUACGAAUCAACAAUCAUUUAUAUAGAAAACAUUAACCUUGUGAACUUUAAUAUGUAUACAUAAAAUACAUAAAUAAAUAAAUAAAUGAAGUAUAUAUAUACGUAAUAUUAAGUAGGAAAUCUUUUAAAAUAUGAAAAAUAAUAAAAUAGCAAAGUCAAGAUAAAAAUAAUGAUAAUAUCAAGAGUGAUGAUAUAUAUAUAAUAUAAUAAAAUAAAUGUGUUUAAAAAAAAUAUGUUAACUCGUUUAAUAUAGUAAUAAUAACAACUUACAUAUAAAUGCAAACAAAUAAAACAACAUAAUGAUAUAAUAGUAGUAAUACGAUAAUAACAAUAAAAAUAAUAUUGAUGGUCGAAUCAUAAUAUUAACAAAGCAAAUAAGAUUGAUUAAAAGAUGAAAUAAAAUAGGAGGUGUAUGAUAAAAUAAGUGAAUGUGUCAUGAAACAUAUAUAAUAAAUGAAUAAAACAACAAUAUAAAGAAACAUAUACAUGAAAAAUAAUAAAGAAAGUAAACAACAGAAAUAUAUGUAGUAAUGACGACACAACAAGAAAAUAUAAAUAUGAAUAAAUAAAUUUUAAAAAGAAAUAGGAGGUAAUAAGGAGUAAAAAUAAAUAGGAAAUAGAAAUAAAUUAAUUAAUACAUGAACUGAAAUUAAAUUAAUAAAGGACUAAAUCGAAAUCUAGAUAACAUUAAAGGAGAAAUUCGGACAUAAAACUAAAGUAGCAGACCAAUUUGAAGCGCACUAGAACCUUGAGGGGCUGAUUGGGAAAAUAUUCCCAGCCCUUUAAGCACAGCGUUUCAAGGAACCGAUCUGAAUUGAACACAAAAACAUGGGGCAAAAUUUAAAAAAAAAGAAUCAAAUAAGGGCCAUAUUGCAAGGCGCCACGAAAGCAGAGGGGCUACGCACGCAAUUAUCCCCUUCACCGCAAACACGCAGAUCCUCAAGGGAGAUGGAUCGGGUCACAGGUCAAAGGCCCGAUGCGGCGCCUUUUCAGUGCAAAUUUCCUUGGUGCAAAACGGCACCAUUUUGUUGUGCUAUUUAGACCGAUUUUUUAUUAAUUUUUUUGUUUGCUGCCUUUUCUAAAGAAGAACAACUCCCUCCCGUUUAUACUCUGCUAGGGUUUAUACACCCAUCAUUGCCGCCGCCGUCGUGAUGCCACCUUAGGUGGUGAUCAAGGUCGUGCAAAGGGAGGACUCCUUAACCUCCGUUUAGAGUGUCCGAAGCCCUAAGAGAAUAGGGCCCCUUUUCCCUUUUGGGAUUCGGCCUCGACGAUAGAGUGGGGACUCCGACCACAGGACCCCGAGGUUCAGGUGAGCCUUCUUGUCUCUCUUUUUUUUUAUAUAUUUUUGUUAAAAAUAGAUUUGAAGACAGAAAAUGAAAAUAAGAAAACAGGAAAUAAAAAAACAAGAAAAUGAGAUUCAACCUUUUAGUUUUUUCUUUUUGAUUGCUUAAUUGUUUAUGUGUAUUACAUUCUUUUUGUGCUUGUAGCUAUAUAGUCGAAUAAAAAAAAUGCUUUAGCCUAUUCCUUGCUACUGUUUUGCUUCGUUUCUGCUUCUUUGCUUUCUUUUCUGUUUCUGUUUUGUAGGUUUAGAGGGUCAACAGGGGCGAAAACAUGCCAUUUUGGUGUAAGGUCGAUAGAGGAAAUGACCCUCGGGCGAUGUGUGCGUCGAGGGUGCACAUGGAGGGCUUACGGCGCACUCGAGACAUGCGAAAGGGGGAAACAGCGCCUAAGGUUUCUUUUGGCUGAAUGAGUUUAGGUUUCGGGCUAUUCUUUGGGCUAGGGUUUUUUAGCUUUGGGCCUACAAAAUUUGGGCUUUAUAUUUGGGUUGUAAAUUUGGGUAUGGUAAGUUUUACAUUCGGGCUCUUUUUGUAAUUGGACUUAGACUCUUAACUUGUUUUGGUUUUAUUUUUGUUUUUGGGUUAUUGGUUUAGCCCCGGGAAAAAUAAGCCCAUUACAAACUCUUACUGCGGGUAUUCUAGAACUGCAACUUUGGACUACUGAAAAUUAUGGAACUGUCUGCAGUACCAAUGGUUUUAAGGAGAUGUCCGCAGUUGUUCGAGAACUAGUCUAAUUCUUCUGCAUUCACAAGCACGACCCACCAAUGUCUUUGAAUCUGUUUCUCCCCCAUAGCUAGAGAAGGAUUUCUCAUCAAGUCAAUAGAUCUGUUGGAGGUUUCACUGUAUAGUUGUAACGCCCCUAACCCGAAUCCGUCACCGGAAUAGAGUUACGGAGCAUUACCAAAGUUACCGAUUCAUUUAUCAGAUAUUUCAUUAAUCCGAUAUCUUUUCUUUUCCACGUUCAAGUCUCGUAUUCAAGUCAUCCGGAUCUUUAUAAAGAAAUUUGAUCACCGUUUUCAUUUAUUUCAUGUUAUAAUACAUUCAACUAAUGCUCUAAACAAAAUUAUCAUUUUACCCCUAAACUUUUAAUUAAUGACGAUUUCAUCCUUAGGUUAAAAUAAAAUAAAAUUAUUGCAAUUUAAUCCUUAUUUCCAGCCGUUAUUCUCACACAAAUUGAUAACAACCUAUGAAUUCUAUAAAAUAUCAUAAUUUUCCAUAAUUUCAACACUUUUCAAUUUAAUCCUUAAAACAUGUUUUUCCCUGAUCUUGAGCUAAAUUAAUAAUUUCAUUCAAUUUUGUAAUUUAAAUAAUAAAAUAAUCCAUUUCAUGCAAAUUGGUCAUUUCUAAAUUUUUUUUACAAAAUUGCCCAUAAAAUUUUACUUUUAUUCAAUUUAGUCCAUGAGCCUAAAACAUACAAAUUAGCCAUGCUAGCUGAAUAUUCAUACAUAUUUUCCUCCUCCUCCUCUCCAUUCCACAUCCUUAAUUUAUAUAACAUGCAACAAGUAACAUUAUCAAUAAUUUCACUAUUUACUUAUGUAUAUUCAAAACUGUCCAUUUGCGUUAUAGUCACUAAAUUAUUUAUAUCUUAAGCUACAGAACUCAAAAUUAAGAUCUGCUAAUUUUCCCUGAAACUAGACUUACUUAUCUUAUUACCAUAACAUUUUUAGAAUUUUUGGUUUAGCCAAUAAGUACAGUUUAUUCUUUAAAGUUGCCCCUGUUCUGCUGUCUGACAGUUCCGAUCCUUCUUCACUAAGAAUUAAUUAUCUCAUCGUACGAGAUUCGGAUGAUGUUCCCACUUAUUUAUAUUGAAAAUAGUCUCUUUAAGGAUUUUAAACAUAUAAAUUUAAUCCCUUAAUUAUUUUUCUCCAAUUUUUUAUGAUUUCCCAAAGUAAGAACAGGGGAACCCGAAAUCAUUCUGACAUUGUCUCAGAAAACUUAUUAUAUCUCAUGAUUUACAAUUCCAUUGCUUACACCGUUUCUUCUAUAAGAAACUAGCUUUAAUUUCAUAUUUUAUUCAUCCUCUAAUUAGAUUUCUACAACUUUUGAAGAUUUUUAAAAGUUAGACUAUUGCUGCUGUCCAAAACUGUUUUAGUGCAAAAUGUUGAUUUUCAUUUUGCCCCAAAUUUCACAGUUCAUACAAUGCAGUCCUUACUUAAUUAACCCCUCAAUUAAACUAAUUUUCUCAAUUAAUACUUUUCCUAGACAUUAUAAGUUAUUUCAUAACUAUUGAAAUUCAUAAUUUCCACAUAAAACUCUAACUUCAAACUCUUUUACAAUUUAGGUCCCAAACAUUCACUUUCUAUUCAAUUCUUUCAAUAAAAUCAGCAUAUAAACAAUUUAAAGCUCUAAUUCUACAUCAAAUCAUCAUAUACUUCCAUCACAUAUUCGUAGAAACUUUCAAUUUCUUUCAUAGAAUCAAGAACUAAUGAAUUCAACAAAUGGACCUAGUUGUAAAAGUCACAAAAACACAAAAAUUUCAAGAAAUAAUCAAGAAUUGAACUUACUUGCAGUAAAAAUAUGAAAAACCAGCUUAAGGGAACUCUUCCAUGGUGUUUUUGCUGAUGAGAAUGUAGAAAAAUAAAGAGAAAUCUAGAUAAUUUCACUUUAGUCCUAACUUUAUUAAGUAAAUUUUACAAUUUUCCAAUUUAGCCCUUAUUUUCUUGGUGAUUUCAUGCUCUUGCCGUCCAGCCCAAAUAGGCCUUGGGUCUAUUUUCCUUUUAAACCCUCUUUCUUUUAUCAUUUAAGCUAUUUAAUCAUUUCCCACAAUUUUUCAUUUGAUACAAUUUAGUCCUUUUUGUUCAAUUAGCUAUCAGUACUUUAAAAUUUCUUGACGAAACUUGAAUACUAACUUAUUAACACUCCAUAAAUAUUUAUAAAAAUAUUUAUGGCUCGAUUUAAAAUUCCCGAGGUCUCGAUACCUCGUUUUCAAUUCUAAUUAUUUUAAUAUAUAUAUAUUUUGUACAUUUCACUAUUUCAAAAUUUUUCCUAACUUCACAUUUAACUUAUACUCACUAAAUUAAUAAUAUUUCCUACUCAUUUGUCAGAUUUAGUGAUCUCGAAUCACUAUUCCGACACCACUGAAAAUUAGGCUGUUACAACUCUCCCCCCUUUAGGGAUUUUCGUCCCCGAAAAUCUUACCAGAAGAAGUUGCUUUCAACACUCAUAAAACACAUUUACUAACUUCUCAAAAUCACAAUUUGAUUUAACCUCGAAUAUCUUUUUCCAUUCAUCUUUGAACUCUAGAACACAAUGUUGGAACAUACUGUCAAAAUUCUAAAUUACCCUCUCAGGGAUACAUAUACUCAGCUGAUCUGUCAAAUGAAAACUCUGUACCUCCUGAAAUGAUCAUACAGAUCUUUCUUUGUCAAAUGAACAACCAUAAACUAAAUAACAUUUUCCUUUCCGAUGUUAAUGACAAUCCCAAUUCGAAAUCUAUAGUCAUUCUUUCUCAUAACACACUAGUAUUAUCAUUGACUGCAAUAAUCCUAAAUGUUCUUAAUGUUCGGCUUACUUGCUAACAAAUAGACAUCUGAACAUGAACUCAAAGAUAUUAUGUAACGCUCGUGCAAUCACUAGUACAUCUAACUCACAAGAAGAUAAUAAAGAUCUUGAUAAUUUCUCAAAGAAAGCCAGAAGAAAAACACUGCUUACCGACUCUAGACUUCCAUCAUAACAGAGAUAAUAUAUUUCCCGCAUGUAUAAAAUAAAAUCAUAAUCAGUAGAAACAUAAGAAUAGUCUCACAUAAAUUUUUACCAUUAACUUCAUUUCCAACAUAUUAAAAUAGAAUUCCAAGAAGAUGAAGAAAUGACGAUCAUAAACCAACCAGACCAAUAGGGCUUUUGUCUAACAUCAUAAUUAACUAGCAUUCUCAAAACAUCAGAACUCCACCAGAGACUGAACAACCACACACACAUAUCUCUGAGGAUAAAAGAAUAUAUAGAAUACCCAGAAAAAAUGAUCAUAUUCAUUUCAACUGUAACUAUCACAUACAGACAUCUUUACUACUCAAUUAUCAUUUUUUUUACUAAUUCUGUCAUCAUGAACCCCGCAUCAUUCCAUUCACUAACGAAAACCAAUUCGGGAAAAAUUUCAGCAAACACAUACUUCAGACAUUGUAUCUGAAUAAUUCGACUAGCCGAGGUUAACUUUUUCUUUAACCGUGACAUUACAUAAUCUGAAUGAUCUUUAGAAUAAUCUGAUAUUUUUUUUAAAACUGUAUUCACUUGUCAAACUAUUUUCAACUCCGUCUGCAUUAUUAAUUAUUCCAUUACUGUACUCAUUAGUUUCACAUUUGUGAACUUAUUCAACAUUUUUUUUUUGUAAAUUUUCAUUAUAAAAUACUACAUUGGUAAGAGGGUGAGGUCGUAAAGCCUCUAACUGAGUUCUCAUAAAUACACACAUAUAACUUAGCGUUUUUCAUCAACAUCAUAUCAUCACAAUUACAUAAUUCACUUCAAACAAAUUAACAUACAUGAUUAUGUUACACGAACUUUUCAAUUAUCCAUUUCAAACUAGUGUACUUAAACAUACAUUCCAUGAAUUUUGAGUAAAUUUACUCAUAGCAUUUACUUAACCAAACAAGUCAGACACAUAAUAUCAUAUGAAUGCCACACAAACAUAGAUAAGUUUAUCACAAUAUAUACUUUCAUUUUAUUCACGUUUCAUCAUUUCUCAACUUUUGAUUAUCUCAUUUCGAACAUUGUCACAUACAUAUCAUGAACUUCUAUUAUUACAUUUCUAAGUUCCUUCUCAUCAUAAACACAUUUCAAAUAUCUCAAUAUCACUAACUCAUACUUCUCUUACCAUAUACAUAAUUUAAAUUUAACAUUUAAUAAUAAAUAAUUUGAAUUAUAAUAAUAUAAUCGUACGUUGAGUAUGUUUGUACUCAGUGGUAUUACCAUAAUUCAAAUUAUAAAUACUAUAGUAAAUAAUAGACAUCAAAGAUGUAACAAUAUAAGUCAUAUGUGUUAAUUAUGCUUUAAUUUCAUAUCUCGGCAAUAGUCUUUCAUCAAAUGGCAUCAUAUAUCAUCUAUAUUAUCUUUAAUCAAUUCAUGAACCUUUGGUUCAAGCUUUCAAUCUCAUAUCUCUAUUUCAAUUCACAAUUCACAUUUCUUUUCAUAAUUCCACUUUUUCACACUUUCUAUAGUUUAAUCGAUCAAAUUCAUUCGAUUUUCUCAUUUCAUUUACUCAACCCUAUUAACAUAACUCGGACUCAGACGGAUACACGGAUCAAACCAAACAUACCAGUAAGGCACAUUGUGCCUAAAACGGUACAUAGUACCUGAUCAGAAUACGACACAUAAGUGCCUAAAAAACGACACAUAAAGUGCCUGAUCAGUAAAGCCGACAAAUCCCGUACACUUCCAGUUCCUAUGGCAUGCCAAUUAUAUUCGACUAGUCCGACAAGUUAAUAGGGAAUUCAAUUCUCAUUUCAAUUUCACUUAAUAUUCAUAUUUACCCCUAUUAACAAGACUCGGACUUUGGCGGAUACACGGAUUCCAUCCAAACACACCAAAAUGUCCAACCAAAACACACCAGUAUAAUCCUCCAAAACACACCAGUAUAAUCAUCCAAAACACACCAGUAUCAUAUAAUCCUCCCAAACACACCAGAAUAAUAUAAUCCAUCCAAAACACACCAGAAUAGCACAAAGUGCCUCUUCGGAUAAAUCCGAAAGAUAUAAACAUCAGCAUAUCCAAAUCUCAUCUCCAAAUCCCUUCUCAAAAUCCUAUGGCAUGCCAACUAUAUCCGACUCAGUCCGGUACAGUUAAUAGGGUAUUCAAUUCACUUUCCAGUUUCCAAUCAAUACACAUCUCAAUUAAUCACAUAUUCAUAUCAAUUUCAUCACAUUCCCAAUCAAUAAAAUUUUCAAAUAUAACAUAUAUCCAAAAUUCCAUUUCCACAUCAAUCACAUAUAUCCAUACAAAUUUAAUUCAAUAUUGAUACUUACCUUAAAAUUUUACUUACUAUACACAUAAAUUUAAAUAUAACAUUUAUUCAUACCUUUAUGAGUUCCGACUCAUCAUAAUCUACUUUUGCUCACAUAUUUGAGUAUCGCUUUCAACAUUAUCGUAAUUAGCUCGAUUGGGAAAGUAUCUCUAUCUUUAAGUAAAAUAAAUCUCAUCAGAGCUGGAAGAUAGUAAAUUAUCUUAUCACAAGUUAUAUAAUGACAUGUAUUUCUAGACUUUACAUAUGCUACGUUCGGCCCGAGAACCGACUAAACCUUAGCUCUGACACCAAUAAAUGUAACGCCCCUAACCCGAAUCCGUCACCGGAAUAGAGUUACGGAGCAUUACCAGAGUUACCGAUUCAUUUAUCAGAUAUUUUAUUAAUCCGAUAUCUUUUCUUUUCCACGUUCAAGUCUCGUAUUCAAGUCAUCCGGAUCUUUAUAAAGAAAUUUGAUCGUCGUUUUCAUUUAUUUCAUGUUAUAAUACAUUCAACUAAUGCUCUAAACAAAAUUAUCAUUUUACCCCUAAACUUUUAAUUAAUGACGAUUUCAUCCUUAGGUUAAAAUAAAAUAAAAUUAUUGCAAUUUAAUCCUUAUUGCCAGCAGUUAUUCUCACACAAAUUGAUAACAACCUAUGAAUUCUAUAAAAUAUCAUAAUUUUCCAUAAUUUCAACACUUUUCAAUUUAAUCCUUAAAACAUGUUUUUCCCUGAUAUUGAGCUAAAUUAAUAAUUUCAUUCAAUUUUGUAAUUUAAAUAAUAAAAUAAUCCAUUUCAUGCAAAUUGGUCAUUUCUAACAUUUUUUACAAAAUUGCCCAUAAAAUUUUACUUUUAUUCAAUUUAGUCCAUGAGCCUAAAACAUACAAAUUAGCCAUGCUAGCUGAAUAUUCAUACAUAUUUUCCUCCUCCUCCUCUCCAUUCCACAUCCUUAAUUUAUAUAACAUGCAACAAGUAACAUUAUCAAUAAUUUCACUAUUUACUUAUGUAUAUUCAAAACUGUCCAUUUGCGUUAUAGUCACUAAAUUAUUUAUAUCUUAAGCUACAGAACUCAAAAUUAAGAUCUGUUAAUUUUCCCUGAAACUAGACUUACUUAUCUUAUUACCAUAACAUUUUUAGAAUUUUUGGUUUAGCCAAUAAGUACAGUUUAUUCUUUAAAGUUGCCUCUGUUCUGCUGUCUGACAGUUCCGAUCCUUCUUCACUAAGAAUUAAUUAUCUCAUCGUACGAGAUUCGGAUGAUGUUCCCACUUAUUUAUAUUGAAAAUAGACUCUUUAAGGAUUUUAAACAUAUAAAUUUAAUCCCUUAAUUAUUUUUCUCCAAUUUUUUAUGAUUUCCCAAAGUAAGAACAGGGGAACCCGAAAUCAUUCUGACAUUGUCUCAGAAAACUUAUUAUAUCUCAUGAUUUACAAUUCCAUUGCUUACACCGUUUCUUCUAUAAGAAACUAGCUUUAAUUUCAUAUUUUAUUCAUCCUCUAAUUAGAUUUCUACAACUUUUGGAGAUUUUUCAAAGUUAGACUAUUGCUGCUGUCCAAAACUGUUUUAGUGCAAAAUGUUGAUUUUCAUUUUGCCCCAAAUUUCACAGUUCAUACAAUGCAGUCCUUACUUAAUUAACCCCUCAAUUAAACUAAUUUUCUCAAUUAAUACUUUUCCUAGACAUUAUAAGUUAUUUCAUAACUAUUGAAAUUCAUAAUUUCCACAUAAAACUCUAACUUCAAACUCUUUUACAAUUUAGGUCCCAAACAUUCACUUUCUAUUCAAUUCUUUCAAUAAAAUCAGCAUAUAAACAAUUUAAAGCUCUAAUUCUAUAUAAAAUCAUCAUAUACUUCCAUCACAUAUUCAUAGAAACUUUCAAUUUCUUUCAUAGAAUCAAGAACUAAUGAAUUCAACAAAUGGACCUAGUUGUAAAAGUCACAAAAACACAAAAAUUUCAAGAAAUAAUCAAGAAUUGAACUUACUUGCAGUAAAAAUAUGAAAAACCAGCUUAAGGGAACUCUUCCAUGGUGUUUUUGCUGAUGAGAAUGCAGAAAAAUAAAGAGAAAUCUAGAUAAUUUCACUUUAGUCCUAACUUUAUUAAGUAAAUUUUACAAUUUUCCAAUUUAGCCCUUAUUUUCUUGGUGAUUUCAUGCUCUUGCUGUCCGGCCCAAAUAGGCCUUGGGUCUAUUUUCCUUUUAAACCCUCUUUCUUUUAUCAUUUAAGCUAUUUAAUCAUUUCCCAUAAUUUUGCAUUUGAUACAAUUUAGUCCUUUUUGUUCAAUUAGCUAUCAGUACUUUAAAAUUUCUUGACGAAACUUUAAUACUAACUUAUUAACACUCCAUAAAUAUUUAUAAAAAUAUUUAUGGCUCGAUUUAAAAUUCCCGAGGUCUCGAUACCUCGUUUUCAAUUCUAAUUGUUUUAAUAUAUAUAUUUUUUGUACAUUUCACAAUUUCAAAAUUUUUCCUAACUUCACAUUUAAGUUAUACUCACUAAAUUAAUAAUAUUUCCUACUCAUUUGUCGGAUUUAGUGAUCUCGAAUCACUGUUCCGACACCACUGAAAAUUAGGCUGUUACAAUAGUAGCCUCUUAUACACCAAAAGUAGCAAAAUUGGUACUAUAUACCCAAGAAAUUAGAUAUUAGCUCAGUCGACUGAAUUGUAAUGCAAGAAAGAUACCUAAUAAAAGGGGGUUUCUAAUAUAUUAGCUAAUCUUUUAUCGGGUGUUCCCAUUACCAAAUCCUCGACUCUGCAUCAAACUUUUUGCCUGCUUUACAUGUAAUGGAGAAUGCUCUUCAACAGGCUGAGCAGCCCCCAGAUUCAGACAUGGAGCAAAGACUCUUCUUUUUCCUCUUCUUUUUCAGCAAAGACAUACAGUUUCUUCUUCUUCUCUGUUAAAGGGGUUUUUUACGGGUUUUUUUAAAUUUCUUCAUCCAAUGUGGCAAGUUAACUGGCCACUUCAGCUAGUUAACUUGUCACAUCAGCGGUUAUGUUAAGACACGGAAACUGUUAGUCAGUGACUGUUUUGUUACUUUUUUAUAACCUUAGUGACUGUUUUGUUAUUUUUCAAAAGUUUGGUGACUGAAAUGAAACCUAAGUGACUAUAGUUAAGUGACUAUUGGUGUAAUUUACCAAAAAAAAAAACUGAAGGAGUAAAAUCAUAUUUUAACUUUUUUAUUUUUUAAAUUAUAGUCCCAGUUUUUUUUUUAAUUCAUAUAAUUCUUAAAAAUACAGCUGACUAGGUGAUGUGGCAGCCUAUGUUGGACAAUAUUUUUUUGACUAGGUGAUGUGGCAGCCUAUGUUGGACAAUAUUUUUUAGACAAACGGUGUUAAAAUUUGGUGUUAACCAAUAACUCGAUGCUAACUCUACAAGGUGGAAGUUAUUAUAUUAAAGAAAAUAGAAGUUGUUUAGAAUUGGGGGCAACCAUGACUGUAACCAGUCGGAAAAAGGUCGGAUAACGCUCAGCAAAAUUCGUUGGAGCAUGCAUUGAAGAACCGACAACUACCUUUUUUAACGGGUGAUAUGACCUAGGUCGAUAAAUUCUGAGAAACAUGAGCCAAACUCAUGGAGCUCCCUCCGAUUAAGUUGAUCAAUGAGAUUUUUCCACUAACGAUUAGUGUUUGUCCCAAUUGUCAGUUGUACACCUCUUGUUAUUCUUAUUAUACAAUCAAGUCACAGCAUGAUUAGAUGCCUCAUUGUCCACAAUCCUAAUUUCGAUGCUUCUAUUUUUUUCCCGAAUGCUUCAGUCUCUCUCUCUCUUUCUCUCAUGUUUGGAAACUUUAAAUAAGCAUUUUAUUAUGCUGAUGAUAAAAGGUUUUAAUAUAAUUUUGUAUUGAUGUUUAUACAAUUUAUUAUUAUUGCAUAUAUUAAUAUCACAUUACUAAAAACGAAAUCAUUUAUAUUUAUUUUUACAAAAUUUUGAUGACAGUAUAAACUUUUUCAAUAUUAUUUGUUGUUGGUAUGAAAUUUAUGCAAUAUUCAACUUCUACCCCUAUUUACUAUCAUUUAAUUUUAGCCUUAAAUAAAUACGAUAUUACAAGAAGUGAUUAAAUUGAAAACUAUUCAAUUGAGAUAUAAUUAAAUAUAUAUACAUAUUUCAAAUAAAUCAAAAUGUAGAAUUUUUCAUUAUUUUUAACAAUAAUUGAUUUUUUUUUCAAUUUUAUGUUUGGUUUUUUAAAGAAAAAUAUUAUUUCUUAAUUUUUAAUAAUUUUAAAUUAUUCUUUUGCAAUUGUAAGUAUUUUUAAUUUAUUUUUUUGAAGUGAUUGAAUUGGAACCAAAGUUCCAACUGGAUCUCUGAUCGGGUCUUACAAUAACGAAUAAAUCACAUUGUACAUUUUAGUUAAACAACAUCUUCCCAUUACAACAUUGAAAACUCAUCGUUCAAACAACCAACAACGAUCACAACAAAUAUAAAGGAACAUACACACAUUAUAUUUAAUCUCUUAUUUCAACAUUACUCUUAUUAUUAUUUCUUAGCAACGGACGAAACUAUUUACCUAUAUUAAAAACUAGUAGUAGUGGUGGUAUAUCGCAGAAUUCCAUUGGUAAUAUGUCUGCCGGAGGAAGAUCGAGCAGUGAUGUAAUAACGGCCAACAUUUUGGUUUGGACACAACAAGACGUCAAUAACUUGGCCUGGGGCUAGGGUUAAAGAACUUGUAAAGGAACGAUUGGUAUAUGUCCCAUUUUGUCCGACAAUCGUCAAUCUGUGUUUUUCGAUGUCAAACAGCAUUGUUUCAUUGGCAACUGCAUUUAUUACGCGAACAAGGUAAAGGCCCUGGUAAUCUACUUGC